rnacentral:lncRNA from 1 species
GCGGUACCUGUUCUUGACCUGUGGGGGGUGUGAGACAGCAAGAGUGAGCUCACAUACGUUCAUCGCUCAACAAGUUGUGGGGAAUAAUGUGCAUGAACUCGCCAAAGGUGGGAGCUCACGUGAAGUGUAAGGCUUACCAAAGAGGAUGGUUGGAGCUGAGUAUUGCUUUUAAAGUUGGUCAAAAUUUUAUUAGCAAUUACUAAGUAUAAGUAAAUACCAACCCAAUUAAAUAGUAGAACAAAAGUAACAACCUCACCUGCGAUGCAAUGCAUAUGACAAAUUGAGUUUAAUUUCCAUAAUUUAAUCAUGUGAGUGUCCGAGCCGCUCAUGACCGUGAGCACGGCUAGUAUACCAGUUUUACACUCUGCAGAGGUUGCGCAUCUUUACCCACAAGUCAUGUUACCCAUCUGCCAAGGGAUCGCGACUUCCCAUACACCUCUACCGAGGAGGCGAGGCAGGGUAACACUACGAGGCCUUUACAAAGUUCCACUAGCUUUAGAAAACCCGCUACAGUUUAUAGGAAGCUCCAAUGCAGGAAUCCCUUGCAGGACCGCCAUCGCAGCAAAAUCCUCCCGAGGGCCUCCCUACACUGACCACUCCCCUACUGCCCUUGCCCCUUUCGGGUAAGGUAGUCCUCCACUAGCUUUCCUAAUUAAUCAGCCAAGGGCGUCCCAUAAACCCUUGUGGUAGCACUGUUUUCCCGGGUGGUUCUCCAUGUUCCAAUUAACAUAAUGAUCUUAACAUGAACAAUAAAUAAUAAACAGAUAAUAAAAAGUGUAAUCGUGAACAAUGUAUCUUCAUACCCAAAACCACAUAAAGCACUAGCAAGUACUACCCAAAAAGUUCAGUGGUAAACAAGGUAUAAAGAUAGACAAACUAGGGUAACCUAUUGGGUCCCAUCAAAAUUAACCUAUGCAGAUCAUUAUGAUUAAUCAGAACAUGAGUGGGUAAAAAGAAGUGAUCAAGGGCACAACUUGCCUGGGACUUGAGAUUCCAGGUACCAAUCUUGCUCUUCAGAUGACACGUGUCCUCAUCGCUAAACGUAGCAAUACAGACAAACAUGGUAUAGGCAAAAUUAACAUUACACCAAACAUAAGAUUAAACUGCAUAAGAAUAUUCUACGCGUCUCUACGAGAUCGUAGGAACAAGAAUCACUAAAUUCGGAGUUACGGUUAUUAAGUUAUGAAUUUCUGAAAUUAUUUAGUGCUUAGAAUAGAUUAAUCCAAAUGAAUAAUUUUAAUUCAAGUUUCAUGGCUAAAUAGUGUUACUAGUUGAUAGACAAUAUUAAUACAAAAUUAUUGCAACUGGAAUGACUCAAUUUGGAGUUAAAAUGAAUUUAAUAUGAAUUAUACAAGUUUGUAGAAUUGUUUUUGUAUUAAAAAUCAAUUUCUAUAUUGUUUUUCUCAAUUUCCUCGGUUACUGGACUGCGCGCCAAUUUCUAGAAAAUACAGGGGCUACUGCACAAAUGUUUCUAAGACUCUAAGAACAGCGCCCGAGGACUGCGGGUUAUUUAUCCUGAACCCGAGGGACUCUUUUAGAAAACGGCUUCAGCGAAGGGGGUGUCACAAGCUCUCGGCCGUUGGAUCUGUUUUCAAGGGACAUGAUUAGAUCGGCGUAUUAUGCGAACCGGUAUUCAAUCCGGGCCGCAGGAUUCGCGAUCUACGACCCAUAUUUUAAGUAAUCGUGACUGCCCCAGGGCCAUCCGAUCCAAAUCAAACGGAUCCAAUUCCAUGCACGAAGCGUUACUCUCUCUUCUAAUCUCGAACGUCCGCUCCACGAUCAACAGCCCGGAUCAUCCCAACCGAAGGGGUACGCUGGUGUUCUAAUCUAGGCCGUUCACAUAGGAUCUGAUGUCCCAGGCGCUUUCUUCCUCCCUGGAACACGCCAGCGGCGGAGCCCGAGCGGACCACAACAGAAGGCUCGCCGGAGCACGCCAAGUUCUGGGUUCUGGCCGUCGAUGUGGGAUUAGACUAGGCGAAAAAGGGACCGAAGAUCCUAACGAACGCGAUAGAGAGCACCAUACCUGGGAUGGAUGCGCUGACUGACCCGCCCACAGUGGUGAGUAGUAGUGGUGCAUCGGUGAAGGAUUCCGGUCGCCUGAAGCGCGGCUUCGCCCAAGCAAGGCCACGGAGGAGUCACGCCCAGCAUGGCGAAGCUCCCAUCAUCAUACAUACAGGCAAUGGCGCCCGCGGUUCCUUCUUAUCCCCCUGCUCACCCUCUCUGCCCUUCCGUCGCUCGAGUGAUUCCUGGCGCGUAUGCAUAACAGAAGGGGAAACGGCAGAAGGUGGCUUGGCUUUUAUAGCACGACAGAUGAUUCCGAGUUGGCAAUCGACCGGUUGCCCUGAGAACGCCACCGAGAUUCACGGCAGGUGGAGCAAGCAGCCAGAGAAAAGGAUAAGAAGUAGCGACGAAGUAGCGGCGUCUGUUACGGAGUUCGCGCGGAAGAAGAAACUGGCUUCCUGGGCCCACGUGUAAGAGACACGGGUCUUCCACUGUGAGCGACCCCAUGUGUCAGUGUCUGGGUUUCCAAGUUGGGCUGGCGCGGUAAUGUGGCCCAAUAGUCCAGCCGGUCACGCGAUUAGUUGGGCCGAGGGGAGAAAAUCGGCCCAGGUAGGCUUACAGGUUUAUCUUUUCUUCUUUUUUUUUAAUUUCAGAGUUCUUCCUCCAAAUUCAAUUCAAAUUCAAAAUUCCUAUUUAAAAUCCCCCAAGUGUCAAAAUUAAUACUAAUACAAAUAUUACCCCUAAUAUUUUCAAUAUUAUUAUUUAUUAUUUUCCUUAUUAUUUAUAGGAAGAAUAAAUGGUUUUAUUAAAAUUCCCUCUCUCAUUUUCUUAAUUCCUUUUCUAAUUUUCAACUUCAAAUUCAAUCUUCGAAUCCCAAAUUAUAUUUGAGCGGAUACUUUAAAAUCUAGUUAAUUACACAAUCAAAGAGAUACUCAGCAUGAUGCAUGUCCCUAUUUUUGUCAAUGCUUUUAUAUGCACAUUUCAUACACACUAGAAGUAGGGAAUAGGUAAUUUAAGGAAAUAAUUCUCUAUCUUAAAAAAAAUUCUUUAGAGAAUAAAUAUAAAGGUGUAUAUAUAUUUUAACAAAUGGAGAGCUAAAAUCAUACAGGGGUAUUUUUUAUAAAGAAAAUAUUCAUUUUUAGGAUGAGUGACUUCAAAAAUCUUUAUUGAAUGAUAUUUUAGUUUAACUCUUCUCGAGAAACCCACAUAAAUCCUAAAAUAGGAUUUUGGGUGUUACAAAUCCUACCCCCCUUAACAGAAAUCUCGUCCUCGAGAUUUGUGAGAAAGGGAUAUAGAGAGAUUUGGUAUGUAAAUUAGCUUUUAGUUUCCCAUUAGUUGAAAAUUAAGAGUCCACUUUUAAUAAUCCUUAAUGGGUGAUUAGGAGAGUGUAGACAUCCAGCUACUUAUUAUGUAGGAUAAAAGAUAGGAAGGUUAGGGCAAGAUUAGACUGGGGUAAGACAGUUUAUGGUGAGAAGAACUCCGUGUUGGAUGGUAAUGCACCAAAAGAUCCAGUUUGACUUCUCUCCUUCCUUGACGGGGUUGAUCUUUUCCUUUUCCGGUCUUGAGCUCAUUAAUUCGAGGUUAGUGUAUAUUAUCGGAGUUGGGGAAAUAUGGUUAGAAUAGUUAUGGGUGAGAUGGACUACAUGAUGUAGGUCAAAAUCUGGUUGGUCAGGUGGGGGUUAAUAGAUUAUGCAAUCCAUCAAGACUCUAUUGGUUGGGUUAGCUCAUGGUUGUUAUUCUAGAGUGGGAUAAAUACGCUAAUUAGGGCAAGAUGAAUCCAUAAGGAUAGGGUAGAAUCUUUUGAGGUCAGUUAGAUCUAUUAGGAUAAGAUAAAAUCUUUUCAAGGUAAGAUGAAUCUACUAAUGUAAGAGAGAGUCUUUUAAGAUAAGAUGGAUUGGUUAGAAUGAGAUCUUUUUAGGAUAAGAUAAAUCUCUUAAGCUAGAUAUAUUCCAAUGGGGAUAAUCUAGGUUGUCUAGUUAUUUUAUAAAUAUAUUUUUUUAUACCUAUGUGUAUAUGCAGAUGCAAUUGUGGACAUUACUCCACAACUCAUCACACUCAAUCAAAGAUCCAAAUCAAACAAGUAUCAUAAGAACAAGCAUUAAAGCACAUAAAUAUGUAUAAAAAUAGUUUUGUUUUUUUUGUUCUUUAAGAUUAGGUCUCCUAUACAUAAUGGUCACUUUAGGCAUGGGAUUUCAAAGUGUGAAUCCACAUUUGUCUUUAGAAAGAAAAGGUAAGAAUAAUCAGAGUAAAGCGGAAAUAGAUGAGAAAUGAUCAAGAUAAGCUUAGGAAAGAAUCAGAGUAAGGUAAGUAGGUAAGGGUUGUCCAGUUCUAUCUAGGUUUCGUCCUACAGUCAACAUUCCUCUGAUACCACUUCUGUCACACCCGGAUUUCGGGGCACCAAGACCCGGGCGCGAACAUAAUCACCAGGUGUGCUGGGACCAAGUCUCACACAUAUGAUGAAUCAUGGCACAGGAUCGAAUGUCACAUCUUUACUACAUAACAAGAGUUCUAUACAAAAUAAAUAAUUACAUUAUAAGGAGACAACGGUCCAGCAACCCAAAGUUGACUGGGAGACGACGGCCUAGAUCUCUCACGAACUCAACGCAGCAUCCUCCAUGCGCCAUCUUGCGGUACCUGUUCUUGACCUGUGGGGGUGUGAGACAGCAAGAGUGAGCUCACAUACGUUCAUCGCUCAACAAGUUGUGGGGAAUAAUGUGCAUGAACUCGCCAAAGGUGGGAGCUCACGUGAAGUGUAAGGCUUACCAAAGAGGAUGGUUGGAGCUGAGCAUUGCUUUUAAAGUUGGUCAAAAUUUUAUUAGCAAUUACUAAGUAUAAGUAAAUACCAACCCAAUUAAAUAGUAGAACAAAAGUAACAACCUCACCUGCGAUGCAAUGCAUAUGACAAAUUGAGUUUAAGUUCCAUAAUUUAAUCAUGUGAGUGUCCGAGCCGCUCAUGACCGUGAGCACGGCUAGUAUACCAGUUUUACACUCUGCAGAGGUUGCGCAUCGUUACCCACAAGUCAUGUUACCCAUCUGCCAAGGGAUCGCGACUUCCCAUACACCUCUACCGAGGAGGCGAGGCAGGGUAACACUACGAGGCCUUUACAAAGUUCCACUAGCUUCAGAAAACCCGCUACAGUUUAUACGAAGCUCCAAUGCAGGAAUCCCUUGCAGGACCGCCAUCGCAGCAAAAUCCUCCCGAGGGCCUCCCUACACUGACCACUCCCCUACUGCCCUUGCCCCUUUCGGGUAAGGUAGUCCUCCACUAGCUUUCCUAAUUAAUCAGCCAAGGGCGUCCCAUAAACCCUUGUGGUAGCACUAUUUUCCCGGGUGGUUCUCCAUGUUCCAAUUAACAUAAUGAUCUUAACAUGAACAAUAAAUAAUAAACAGAUAAUAAAAAGUGUAAUCGUGAACAAUGUAUCUUCAUACCCAAAACCACAUAAAGCAAUAGCAAGUACUACCCAAAAAGUUCAGUGGUAAACAAGGUAUAAAGAUAGACAAACUAGGGUAACCUAUUGGGUCCCAUCAAAAUUAACCUAUGCAGAUCAUUAUGAUUAAUCAGAACAUGAGUGGGUAAAAAGAAGUGAUCAAGGGCACAACUUGCCUGGGACUUGAGAUUCCAGGUACCAAUCUUGCUCUUCAGAUGACACGUGUCCUCACCGCUAAACGUAGCAAUACAGACAAACAUGGUAUAGGCAAAAUUAACAUUACACCAAACAUAAGAUUAAACUGCAUAAGAAUAUUCUACGCGUCUCUACGAGAUCGUAGGAACAAGAAUCACUAAAUUCGGAGUUAUGGUUAUUAAGUUAUGAAUUUCUGAAAUUAUUUAGUGCUUAGAAUAGAUUAAUCCAAAUGAAUAAUUUUAAUUCAAGUUUCAUGGCUAAAUAGUGUUACUAGUUGAUAGACAAUAUUAAUACAAAAUUAUUGCAACUGGAAUGACUCAAUUUGGAGUUAAAAUGAAUUUAAUAUGAAUUAUACAAGUUUGUAGAAUUGUUUUUGUAUUAAAAAUCAAUUUCUAUAUUGUUUUUCUCAAUUUCUUCGGUUACUGGACUGCGCGCCAAUUUCUAGAAAAUACAGGGGCUACUGCACAAAUGUUUCUAAGACUCUAAGAACAGCGCCCGAGGACUGCGGGUUAUUUAUCCUGAACCCGAGGGACUCUUUUAGAAAACGGCUUCAGCGAAGGGGGUGUCACAAGCUCUCGGCCGUUGGAUCUGUUUUCAAGGGACAUGAUUAGAUCGGCGUAUUAUGCGAACCGGUAUUCAAUCCGGGCCGCAGGAUUCGCGAUCUACGACCCAUAUUUUAAGUAAUCGUGACUGCCCCAGGGCCAUCCGAUCCAAAUCAAACGGAUCCAAUUCCAUGCACGAAGCGUUACUCUCUCUUCUAAUCUCGAACGUCCGCUCCACGAUCAACAGCCCGGAUCAUCCCAACCGAAGGGGUACACUGGUGUUCUAAUCUAGGCCGUUCACAUAGGAUCUGAUGUCCCAGGCGCUUUCUUCCUCCCUGGAACACGCCAGCGGCGGAGCCCGAGCGGACCACAGCAGAAGGCUCGCCGGAGCACGCCAAGUUCUGGGUUCUGGCCGUCGAUGUGGGAUUAGACUAGGCGAAAAAGGGACCGAAGAUCCUAACGAACGCGAUAGAGAGCACCAUACCUGGGAUGGAUGCGCUGACUGACCCGCCCACGGUGGUGAGUAGUAGUGGUGCAUCGGUGAAGGAUUCCGGUCGCCUGAAGCGCGGCUUCGCCCAAGCAAGGCCACGGAGGAGUCACGCCCAGCAUGGCGAAGCUCCCAUCAUCAUACAUACAGGCAAUGGCGCCCGCGGUUCCUUCUUAUCCCCCUGCUCACCCUCUCUGCCCUUCCGUCGCUCGAGUGAUUCCUGGCGCGUAUGCAUAACAGAAGGGGAAACGGCAGAAGGCGGCUUGGCUUUUAUAGCACGACAGAUGAUUCCGAGUUGGCAAUCGACCGGUUGCCCUGAGAACGCCACCGAGAUUCGCGGCAGGUGGAGCAAGCAGCCAGAGAAAAGGAUAAGAAGUAGCGACGAAGUAGCGGCGUCUGUUACGGAGUUCGCGCGGAAGAAGAAACUGGCUUCCUGGGCCCACGUGUAAGAGACACGGGUCUUCCACUGUGAGCGACCCCAUGUGUCAGUGUCUGGGUUUCCAAGUUGGGCUGGCGCGGUAAUGUGGCCCAAUAGUCCAGCCGGUCGCGCGAUUAGUUGGGCCGAGGGGAGAAAAUCGGCCCAGGUAGGCUUACAGGUUUAUCUUUUCUUCUUUUUUUUUAAUUUCAGAGUUCUUCCUCCAAAUUCAAUUCAAAUUCAAAAUUCCUAUUUAAAAUCCCCCAAGUGUCAAAAUUAAUACUAAUACAAAUAUUACCCCUAAUAUUUUCAAUAUUAUUAUUUAUUAUUUUCCUUAUUAUUUAUAGGAAGAAUAAAUGGUUUUAUUAAAAUUCCCUCUCUCAUUUUCUUAAUUCCUUUUCUAAUUUUCAACUUCAAAUUCAAUCUUCGAAUCCCAAAUUAUAUUUGAGCGGAUACUUUAAAAUCUAGUUAAUUACACAAUCAAAGAGAUACUCAGCAUGAUGCAUGUUCCUAUUUUUGUCAAUGCUUUUAUAUGCACAUUUCAUACACACUAGAAGUAGGGAAUAGGUAAUUUAAGGAAAUAAUUCUCUAUCUUAAAAAAAAAUUCUUUAGAGAAUAAAUAUAAAGGUGUAUAUAUAUUUUAACAAAUGGAGAGCUAAAAUCAUACAGGGGUAUUUUUUUAUAAAGAAAAUAUUCAUUUUUAGGAUGAGUGACUUCAAAAAUCUUUAUUGAAUGAUAUUUUAGUUUAACUCUUCUCGAGAAACCCACAUAAAUCCUAAAAUAGGAUUUUGGGUGUUACAGCGCAUAUCUAGGUAACUCAUUAAAAAUAGGCCCGACUGUUGCUGGCCCGGACGGUCCGCGCUCACGUGCGGACGGUCCGGGAAUGUGCAGAUCGGCUGGUUUGCUGCCGAUUUGCGGUUGCUUAGGGUAUGUGUCCAUCGGUAUCCCAUAAAGGGGUUGUGACUGGUCGUGACAACCUGUAGACGAUGUGUUACGCGUGUUACCUCCUAACUCAACCUCGUGUGAAGGAAAAUUUGCGAUGUUAGAUUUAUCGAAUGCACGUACUAGUCUCUUAACAUCGCUUUGCAUACCCCCUAUGAUGUUCUGCAUUUGUUCACGCUGCUCUUCUACAUAAUUUCUAAGAGAUUGUAGCUCGUUGGUAUUACUUACAUUGAGGAUAUCUGGCGUGGGUUGGAGCGAAGCCGGAUCCGUCGCCCGAUGUCGGACGACCUUGUUGUUCCUGUCCACUUUGAAGUUGGCCAAGAAUUUUGCUUUCGUCUCCUGGAUCAUCCGCUCCUUGUGCUCCUCAAACUGGAGCUGCUCGUCAGCCGGCAAGGUUUCCCAAGUCGGCUCUAUGAUGUUGCUUGGAGAAAUAUCAGAGCUCUCCCUUGAACCGGCCAUUGAGGGCCGAUUUGAUGAGCCUAGAUGUGUUUUCCCCAGCGGAGUCGCCAAAAAGUAUGUUGACGCCUUUUCGGAGCGCCAAAUACUCAAGAAGAACCAGCGGCGGUGCUCUCUGGUCAGGCGCGGACGGUCCGCGGCUUGGGGCCGGACGGUCCGCGACCUGGCGCAGGGGCUAGGUUUUCCUGCCUGACGUCCGGACGGUCCCCACCCUGGGGCCGGACGGUCCGCGCGUGUGCAGGGGCGGCGGAAGAUCACCGGCGGCGCCUGGAUCUCGCUCCCGGGAGGGACCCCGUCGGGGAGGAGAGAUCCUAGGGGUUGUCUAGGCUCGGGCCGGCCGACCUAGACUCCUCUAAUCGACGUAGAGUCGAGGAGAGGCGGAGAAUUUGGGGAUCGAGAGGCUAAACUAGAACUAGACUAGAACUACUCCUAAUUGUACUGGAAAUAAAUGCGAAUAGAAGUUGUAUUGAUUCGAUUGUUGAUGAUUACAAAUCGGUCGUAUACCUCUCUAUUUAUAGAGGAGGGGGCUGGACCCUUUACAAACUAAUUCCCGAGCUUAUCCCGCGAUUUUAGCCAACAACCGUAGCACAAAACUCGGAACCCUAAUCUGAUCUGCGCACGUGCGGUCAGUCCGGCCCACAGGCGCGAACCGUCCGGACGGCGGACCGUCCGGCCUCAGGGCCGGACAGUCCGCCGGCUCAUUUCUGGUUCGAACACCACCUCAGCAGCAGCAGCUGGCACCCAACCGCUAUCCAGCUCCCGCCCCAAGGAACAAUCAGCCUCUGCAGCAGCAGCAGUUCCGCCAGUGCAAUGGGAACAAGUGUUUCACUUGUGGCAAUGUGGGCCACUAUGCCAAGAAUUGUCCCAGGAACCAGCAGAGGCAGAUGCCAGCACCAAAUCAAGACAAGGGAAGAAAGCAGAAGGUGCAAGUCAGGCAAGGGAAGCUCAACUUCACUACUCUGGAGGAAGUACCAGAAGGAGCUCCUAUCAUGACCGGUACCUUUUCAGUUUAUAAUCAACCUGCUUUAAUUCUGUUUGAUUCUGGUGCAUCUCAUAGUUUCAUUAGCCAAAAGUUCAGUGCUAAAUGCAAACUGCCAUUCUCUCACUCGAAAGGGUCAUUCAUGAUAGUCACACCUGGGGGUAAAAUUGCAACUAAUCAAUUAAACCAAAGUGUGCCUAUUCAACUGGGAAGCCACAUUGUCAAAACCACUCUUCUUGUGUUGGGAUUGGAAAAUGUGGACAUCAUUCUAGGAGCAAAUUGGAUGACCUUGCACCAAGUUGUGCUGGAUGUAGCCAGCCGUACCGUGGAAGUUAAUUCUCCGUUCUGCGGGAACUUCACUUUAAUUCUGCCUAGUCAGGGUUCUUCUCAGUCAUGUACUUUCUCUAUGACAGAGUUACCCCUGAAGAAGAUCCCAGUGGUCUGUGAGUAUGCAGAUGUCUUCCCUGAUGAAUUGCCAGGAAUGCCACCGGACCGAGAUAUUGAAUUCGCCAUCGAGUUGCAACCGGGAACGACCCCAAUUUCCAAGAGGCCCUACCGAAUGCCACCCGCUGAGUUAGCAGAGUUGAAGAAGCAAUUGCAAGAGUUGCUGGAUAAAGGAUUUAUUCGCCCAAGCACUUCGCCUUGGGGAUGUCCAGCACUAUUUGUGAAGAAGAAAGAUGAAAGCUUGAGGCUGUGUAUAGAUUACCGCCCUCUUAAUGCAGUAACUAUCAAGAACAAGUAUCCUUUGCCUCGUAUUGAUGUUCUCUUUGACCAGUUGGUCGGGGCCAAGGUGUUUUCCAAGAUAGACCUUCGCUCUGGCUACCAUCAGAUCAAAAUACGAGCAAGUGAUAUUCCGAAGACGGCAUUCUCAACCAGAUAUGGGCUAUAUGAAUUUUUGGUGAUGUCAUUCGCGCUGACAAAUGCACCAGCAUAUUUCAUGUACCUGAUGAAUUCUGUUUUCAUGCCGGAAUUGGACAAGUUCGUGGUGGUUUUCAUCGAUGACAUUUUGGUGUACUCAAAGAACGAAGAAGAACAUGCCAGGCAUUUGCAUGUAGUGCUUCAACGUCUACGAGAGCACCACCUUUAUGCCAAGUUAUCCAAGUGUGAUUUUUGGCUAAAGGAAAUCAAAUUCUUGGGUCACACUAUCUCUCAGGCUGGAAUAGCUGUUGAUCCUGAUAAAGUGCAGGAAGUGAUGAACUGGAGGCCACCAACAACUGUUUGCCAGAUUCGGAGUUUUCUGGGAUUAGCUGGUUAUUACCGAAGAUUUAUUCCGGACUUCUCUCGAAUUGAGAAGCCUAUCACUGAGUUGCUGAAGAAAGAAGUCAAGUUUGUGUGGAGCCAGAAGUGCGAAGAUGCCUUCCAUGCAUUAAGGCAGCAUCUGACCACAGCACCAGUAUUGGCGCAACCCGACAGCAGCAAGCCUUUUGAUGUAUAUUGUGAUGCCUCUGGCACCGGGCUAGGUUGUGUCUUGAUGCAAGACAACCGAGUCAUUGCUUAUGCCUCAAGAGCACUCAGGCCUCAUGAGCAAAAUUAUCCCACUCAUGACCUCGAGUUAGCAGCAGUGGUUCAUGCAUUGAAGAUGUGGAGGCACUAUCUAAUGGGAACCCACUGCAACAUCUUCACUGAUCAUAAGAGCCUUAAGUACAUUUUUACUCAGGCUGAUCUCAACAUGAGGUAGAGAAGAUGGCUAGAGCUGAUCAAGGAUUAUGACCUAGAGGUACAUUAUCACCCAGGGAAAGCUAAUGUGGUAGCUGAUGCCUUGAGUCGGAAGUUGCAAUGCAACUGUAUUCUGAUGGAUUCUCGCAUUAACACCUUGUGUGAUGAGUUGAGCAAAAUGCAAAUUGAAGUGAUUCCUUCUGGUUCUUUGUCUCACCUUUCUGUUGAGCCAGCUUUGCAAGACCAGAUUAUCAUGGCCCAGCUCAGUGACAAGGGAGUGCAGAUUAUCAAGAAGAAUCUCCAUCAGAAGGUUGAGAAGUAUAAUUGUUUCCGCCAGGAUGAGAAAGGUGUGUUAUGGUUCAAAAGCAGAUUGGUAAUUCCUAAAGACAAGGAGCUCAAGAGGAAAAUUUUGGAUGAGGCUCAUCUCUCCAAAUUCUCUAUGCAUCCGGGAAGCACCAAGAUGUACCAUGAUUUGAAGCUUUUGUACUGGUGGACCAGAAUGAAGAGGGAGAUAGCCCAGUAUGUAUCAGAGUGUGACACCUGUCAGAGGAUAAAGGCAAGCCACUUGAAGUCAGCUGGAGCUUUGCAACCACUAUCCGUACCUUCGUGGAAGUGGGACGACAUCAGCAUGGAUUUCAUUGUGGGUCUGCCCAACACCUCUCGUCAUCAUGAUUCGAUUUGGGUUAUUGUGGACCGAUUGACGAAAGUGGCACAUUUUCUUCCUGUGCACACCACUGAUAAGGCUCAGAAAUAUGCGGAAUUGUAUAUUGACCGGAUCGUGUGUUUGCACGGAUUACCUCGGACCAUUGUUUCUGACCGAGGAGCCCAAUUUGUUGCCAGAUUUUGGGAACAAUUGCAAGAGUCUUUGGGAACCAAGCUAAUCAGGAGUUCAGCUUACCACCCACAGACUGAUGGUCAGACGGAAAGGGUAAACCAAAUCCUGGAGGAUAUGCUGAGAGCUUGUGCGAUCGAUUGUGGGAAGAACUGGGAUAAGCACCUCUCCUUGGCAGAGUUUGCUUAUAACAAUAGUUAUCAAUCCAGCCUAAAGAUGGCACCUUUUGAAGCUCUCUAUGGAAGAAGGUGCAGAACACCACUCAAUUGGUCUCAACCUGGUGAAAGAGAAGUUUUUGGACCUGAUUUAGUGACUGAAGCUAAAAGGAAGGUCAAGCUAAUCAGGAAGAAUCUAGAAGCUGCUCAGGCCAGGCAGAAGAGCUAUCAUGAUAAAAGAAGGAAACCUCUCCAGUUCGAGGUGGGAAGUUUUGUAUACCUCAAGUUAUCACCCACCAAGGGAGUGCAGAGGUUUGGGAUCAAAGGCGAGCUAGCCCCUCGUUACAUCGGACCUUAUGAGAUCAUCGAAGCAUGUGGACCCGUGGCUUACAAGCUGAAGUUACCUUCAAAGAUGUCUGCCAUUCACAGUGUAUUCCAUGUGUCUCAGCUGAAGAAGUGUGUUCGAUUGCCGACCGAGAUCAUAGCAGAGCCAGAAUUGGAGAUAGAGCCAGAUAUAUCGUACCAAGAGUACCCCUCCAAGAUUCUGGAUUGCAAAGAAAGAUCAACUCGGGCGAAAUCAAUCAAGAUGUUCAAGGUCCAGUGGAGUAAUCACUCAGAGGAGGAAGCUACUUGGGAAACCGAGGAAUUCCUGAGAUCCAACUUCCCCGAUUGCCUACCUAAGGAAGCUGGUACGUAAUCACCCCCAACCCCUCCUCCUGCCCUUCGAAUCUAAUUUUCAAAAAUAUGAUCUUAGUUCAGAAUGAAGAAACUAUGAAGUAAAACUUAAAAAGGACUUCCUUCUGAAGUUGCAAAGAGAAUGACAUUCGAAGAGCAGUUUAUCCUAAUAAUAACAAUAAUCACCCAUUUCCUAUAAGUCUCACCCUUCGCUUCACCCUGAAAGGACUCUGGCCCGAAUCUCGGGACGAGAUUCCUUUAAGGGGGAAGGCUGUGACACCCCAGUGUCACCUAGGGUUUCUCUCAAAUGACAAACCAAGAAUCAUUAUUUUAUGUGAGCCAAAGUAAGCAUGAGCAUCAAAUUAACUUAAGUAAUAAGGAAUUCACCAAGCAUAUACUUAAAAGUAUCAUGAUCAAAACAAUUGAGACCUUUAAAAGAUAAGAAUGUGCAACCCUAAUUAAAGACCCUAAGUAAGCCCUAUGAGCAAAACUCAGGAAAAUAAGAAAAAGGGUAUGAAAAGUUUAAAAUUAUGAAUGGAGCCAAUUAUAAAAAUUAAAGUACAUUUAAUGGGCAACAAGAAAUGUUGAGAAAACUUAGCCAAAAUAACUCAAAUAAAACCCCAAAUCAAGCUUCUCAUGUGGGGACUUAAUGGGAAUUCUGAAUUUCAGAAUUCUGAAAUUCAGACCUUGAGCCAAAGAUCAGGGGUGUUCACCUUGAUCCCUAACUCGAAUCCUAAUGGCCCCAUUGACAAAAUUGUGUCUAACUAACCCCUCUGUCGUGUGCCAGAAGAUGGCAUUGGGACAUGAGCCCUAGACACGACAAAACCUUGGAUUUGCCUCGGGUUUGGGCAGGGAGACAGACCAGAUUUCCUGGCUCCAUAUCUCUGCAACCAGUAGGCAAAAUCCUAUGACCCCCACACAAGAAUGGUAGCUUGUAGGGAGGAGAAGAGGUUUUGUGCACUGACCAAGGCGAGAGCAGGCUCGGAUGAGCGACCACACACGCCAGAGCUUGGGCAGAACGCACGGGCACACGUGUUCGACCCUGGUCGACACGCCAGAGCUCGCCCAACCCGCGCGCGCUCACCCCGGCGUCCGGUCAAGUCCGCCGCGCGCCCACGUCCUCGGCCGUGCCCGCCCGCGCCUAUAAAGCCUCCCCGGGCGCACCUCACUUCGCCCCGCACUCACCCUCACCGGCCAGCCACUUUUCCUUAGCUCCGGCGAGCUUAAUUCCGCCCGCCAUUGCCGCCAGAGCUUCGGCCAUCGUGGCCAGCCCAUUCCAGCCAUCCUCUGGGCAAGCCAGUGCUUUGGCUAGCUCCGCCAGUAGCCUGUGAAGCUUGCCAAGCCCUCAGACCCGGCCGGACUUCACCGGAGGCCCGAGAUCGACCUCACCGGACUUCGGUCUUCCGCCGCCGCGCGUGGACCGAGCUAUCCAGUGAGUCCCCGCCCAAUUCCUUGCGCUCAUAUCUUCUCUGGCAUCCCGUGGACCUCCCUGGCCCUUUUGAUUGAACUAUCUCGCCGUGACCAGGCCGGACUCCUCGCCGCCGACGAGCAUCCCCGCCUGCGCGCGUGGACCGACCGACUCCGGCCAUCUCCGACGGCGUUCCGCACACCGUUGUGAUCCCCGAGACCUCCCCUUCAUCCUCGACCACUUCACCGGAGCAAUCUCGCCGCCGGUAAGCCCCUCCGCCCUUUCUUCCGCCGCGGUUACUGUUAAGGUAGAAGAAGGACCUCGGGUUAGGAUUUGUAGAAACCGAGGGGUUUUCUGUAAUGUCAGUGACUCAUGUGAAUAGUAGCCUAAGGACUGAUUCGCGAAGAAAACUUAGAAAACCCGCCAGGGACCCCAGUGCAAAGUGGAUUUCCAUUUAAACCAAUUCUGUUAUUCUUUUAAAUAACCAGAGAACUUAGAAAAUCCAUAACUUGAUGAAAUCUUAAUAAAAAGUUGUCAAACCAAUUUUGCUAGCUCCUGAAUAUUAUAAUCUAUCAUUUAAAAAUAGUAGAAUCUAUUUUUUCUGUUCAAAGUUUUAGAGUUUAAAACUAAAAAUAGAAACCCACUAAACCUUGUUUAAUUAAGGAAAAUUAGUUUUUCUUCUGUGCUGAACUUAAGAAAAUUUGUAGAUGUUUAAACCUCAUUUAGACACUGCUUAAAAAUAGUAGGAACCCCAGCAUUAAAAAUUAUGAUGUGCUUAUUCAUUUAAAGCUAUUUUGCCCAAAACUUAGAGAAAAUCAGAAAGGCCUUAGAAAUAAAUAAACAGUGAUUAAGAUUAUUUUUCCUAGUUUGCUUAUGUAACAAAGAACCUAGGAAAAAUACAGAGACCAUUAAUUUGGACCAGUUUUAAAUUAAAAUGAUUUAUUUAGCCUUAUAUAGACUGAAAAUCAAUUAUUCAAGAGGCAAAAUAAUAACCAUAAUGCUUAAUAAAAAUCGAGUGGACUUAUAACCACCAGAGCCCCACUACAAAAAUACAGAGCACCUCAGCCCAACUUUUUAAGUAAGAAAAAUAAAUAUAGAGUGAUAAUAAGGCAUUUUUCCAAUAAAUCAUGAACAACCCCUAAUAAUGUGAUAAUGGGCAACCAAAAAUUAGCUAAGUCCAUAAUGAGAUAAACUACCAGAGAAAAAUGCAAACCCAUGAAAAGGAAGCAAACUCAUACCAAUUGCCAAUGAUUUAAGAGAAAGGCCACUUAAUUCAAAUAAUGCAUACCACCCCUUCCCUUAAGCAAAAAGAUGCCAAACUUCAGAAUGAUUGCUCUUGCACAUAAUAAUAACCAAGAAAAAUAAGAACUUUGUUGUUUGAUGUGUUUCAAAUAUAGAGGUAGUAGAAAGCACCUAUUUGGCUAGAAACUUGAGAAAACCAUAGAAAAAUAAUUAAAAGGUAUUAAUGAUUAGAAAUUUGUAUCAAGUCAAGUCAUGUGAUAACACCUAAAAGCCAGCAAAAAUGAGUUUUAGAGAAUUACCCACUGUUAAAUAAUAGUUGUAGUUCAAAGCACCCCUUCUGCCCUAAAAUUUGAUAAUUUUUUCUAGAGAAAACUAUUCACUUUCUGAUCCCCAAAUUUUGAGACAGAGAAACACACACCAGUAACAAGCCACUGUAAUUUUUGCAGAAUUUUUGGAAUUUUAUAAAAGCAACUUGUAGUUCAAACCUACUUCAAAACAUCAAAGAGAAUAAAGGAAAAAGGAAAGAAGAAAUAAACCCCACCUCAAUAAGUCUAACUUGAGUACUUAAUCAACUCUCACUAAGACUUAAAAGGAAUUCAGUGGAACCCCAAAGAUAAACCUACUACUUACCUUAGCUAAGUUUAACCCAAUUUACAAAGUAUACCACUAAAGGGUCUUACAUAAGUAAAGUUAACUUGUUUAAACUCAUGUAGAUCAUACACCUUUAAAGUUGUAAUUUCUAAAAGCACAUAUCGUAUCAUGCAUAUAUCUUACGCAUUGCAUUCAUUAGAUUGUAAUCUUGCCGACGGAGAGUACGUGCUCAUCCCCGAGCAAGGACCUGUCCAAGAGGAGGACCAGGAGCAGGCUUUAGAGGCUGCUAUCGAGGAUCUCCCCGUAGCCCCAGCAAUUGAAGGCAAGCCCCGGUUUUAUGCAUAACCGUAUUAUUAUAUGCUACUUUACUACACUUAAUGCUUGUAGGAUUGAACGUACUAAGCACAUGCCGGGAAAAAUGGUAACCGGUAAACCUAGUACCUGAGUGAAGCCGGGCGCGGACUUUAUCCCUCAUGCGACCUGAGACUGGGUCUCCCAUGCUAGCUAUGGUGGGUACAAGUGCGGUCACUGCACGGCGGCAGCUGGGGUCAGUGGAGCAUUGUAUGCCAAGGCGGUGAGGCCUGGACGCGAACGGGGAAUCGAUGGGGACGGUUGUCAUGUGUGGGGUCGGAGUACCCUGACAUGCCGUGUGUUUAGGUUUACCUUGCAAGGUUUAAAACUCGAUUCGAAUCGUCUGCUUCUCACAGCUAAUGAGACUGCUUGAUUCCUUGUACUGCAUCGAGUAAGAAGUGAAACAUGGUUACAUGAGAUAAUUUGUUGAUUGAACUAAAUGCUUGUUACCAUGUAUGCUUAGAAGGAGCAAAUCUAGCUAAGUUAAAGAUGAUAGAAUUUGAAAAGCUAAAAAUUGAUUUUAGAAACAGCUAGUGCUUUUGGCAAACCAAACCCCUCAGCCAAACAGCUGCAUAGUCUAGAGGUAGAGGAGUAGACUCCUCACACCGGUUAAGUCUAGCUGAGUAUUAGUAUACUCAGCCUUGCUUGUGGCACCAUUUUUGCAGGUACCAUUCAGGAAAUGGUUGAUGGUGUGACUUGGCCUACCACCCUGCCACCGGGUUGGACGGUCGAGUGGGAUGUUGCUCCGGCAGGAGAGGAGCAUGAGGACUAGUGGGCUAGGCCUUGCCCAUUUCCUCUUUACCGACGAUAUCGAUUAUCCGCUGCACUUUUUUUUGUGAACUCUUAUUUGCUACUCAAAAACUCCGAUUGAUGUAAUAACUCAGUACUUAAUUUGAGGUUCCUGUUUUAUUGUAUUUCUUCUGUGACUCACCUUCGAGUGAGAUUGUGGAAUUUGAUCCUGGUUAAGUGGCUCUAUCAGACUAGAUCUGAGGGACUGACGGGUUAUUCCGAUUUAAGUGUGUUACGGCCCCUGAGGCGUGACUUAGGCACUUAAGCUGGAAUAAUUCGGGCGGUUCUGCCACACACCCUUUGUCCAAAUUUGAGUUACGAAUUUAUUUCCAAUGCUUCGGGCCAGGCUGGGGAAGUCAGUCAAGUCCGCUGGUGAUAGGCUAAAGUUCGUCCUGUUUACAAUUUUUCCAUGCGUGCAACCAGCCUUCAUAAAAGCUACAGUUGUGUCGCAGAAGCUAGCAUGGCAUAGAAGUCACCAUGCCCAGCUAUAACUUCGUCAAGCGCCUCAACUUCGCCCUCAAUAUGUUCGAAGGUGCUUGGCAGGUCUUCAACCGAAGGUUCAAUUUUUUCAGAACUGGCUCCCACUGAGUUGAAGACCUGUUUCAGCCAUUGCACGCACCAGUUGCCGAAGUUUAGGCAUUUGUCCUGAAGCACCUUCAAGGAUUUUUGCAAAUUCGAACUUUUUCAACUUUGGUUGCAAGCUUCAUAUCAAAAUUCUUCUUUUCUUGCUCGAAGCUUUCUGACUUUAGGAGUUCACUAUUUAAUCUAGAAAUUUCGGCUUAGGCUUCUGCCAGUGAACCCUCCAUUGUUUGAAGAAUAAAAUCUUUCUUUUCAAGAGCAGUUUCAUGAUCUUUGAUUUUACUUUCCAUGCCUUCAAUUAUAACCUCAUUUUUCUUAUCUUUGAGGUCCUAUUGCAUCCUCAAGGCUUUACUUAGUAGCAUACUCUGUGCAAAAUAACCUUCAUCAGAAAUCACCUUCAUUGCAAAACAAUAAAAAGUUGAGGGAAAAACUUUACCUUAAAAUUAGAAUAGAAUAAGCUGCCGACGAUAUGCUGUCGUUGGUAGCUGUUGAUGUCAGCUUCAAGCUUCGGAAAACCAACAUUCUUCAACAGAGUGCUGAUAAUCAUUGCUCCAGUUCGAUCUUGAAUACAUCCUAAGGCUUCUUCGUUAAUUCCGCCGAAGAGCAUCGCUCCUGGCUGGUAGCCACAGGAUAUAGCAUACUCCUGCAGGUCCUCUUUCUCAGCCUUAGAUAAUUCUUGGCGAAUUGUAUUUUGAAAAUUAAAGUUUUUUUCUUCCGAAAUAUCUUCGGAAAUUUCCUUCCCUUUUUCAGGAACUUUGGCCAGGACUUCUUCUGCAGAAGCAGUAGUCUCCUCCACAGCCAAAUCCAAGAGCACUUUAUCGAUAACAGAUAAUGUACUCUCCAAGUUGGUAGCUUCGGCAGAAGCAGCAACUUCGGCAGCUGGUGUUAUUUUUGACGCUGAGGCCGGCGGUGGCGUUUCCUCAAUAGCUUGCAUAACAGUAACAAUCUUUCGCUUUUUUGGCCCAACCGCCUUCUUCGCUGCCGAAGGCUCGUCCUUCUUCUGUAAAAGCUUCGUUAGUUGCGGCCUCAAUGGACUUAGCAGCUUGAUAGGUAAGGAUUCAGUCAUUACCUUUAAAAUUUCUUCUACUUCAGCAGUAGAAGGUGUUGAAGGAGUUUCUUCUUCUAUCUCAGCUGCUUUUGGCUUUGAAGCUGCAACUUUUCUCUUCUUCGAAGCAGCCAUCUUCAACUCAGGACUGGAUUUUCUCUUUUUCAGAGCUUCUUCAUCUUCUUUCACCAUCCUAGCAGCCUGUCUCCUUAGAACACUAACAACCCUUUUCUCUUUUGCCCUUCGGCCCCUUGUUUAGUCGUUCAUAAUCAGGAUAUUCAAAAUUCAAAGCAUCCAUUACUCGGUUUAACCUUCGUUUUGGUCGGGUACCGAAGGCUGCAGUCAUCAGUUGAUCUUCUUUUUUGGUAUAAUUAUUCAAAAUUUUGUUGCACAUAGUUUCAAUAAUUUCUAUCCACUCUUGGCAAGGCUCUUUGAAUUGUUUCUCAAAUUUGAAGCGGUAAGGUAGUCGAACAAGUUCAUUCUUCUUCCUUGUUCCCUUCAGCUUCGGCAUACUCCAUUCACUCAACGUCGGAGAUACCCUGUUAGCCAGGUAUUCUUGCACCAGAUCUCUAGUGCUGAUCUGUUCAGCCACCACCCUGAAUUCUGCUACAGCUUGUUGGCAUGGUGACUACGACGACAUGCGGCACAGGGGCCUAGUCAGCCCGAAGCUUAAACUCAGCGGGCUCAUCACCAGCGUCUUCAACUUCUCCCUCUUCUUCUCAUCGACCUUGAUAUAGAACCACUCACUUUUCCAGCAGGUUGGCCACUUGGUGCGAUAGCUGAGCACCGGGGCCUUCAUAUCCUUGCGAUACGCGAAGUUAUAACAACCAAAAUUUUCAUGUAGCCUGUCUUCUCUGGCCUUCGUCUGGUAAUGUAGCUCAUGCACUUGGCAGAAAGCUUCAGCAUUUGGGUCCAUUCUUUGGCUUCGAAGGGCCCAGAUGAAGACGCUGAGCCUAACGAUAGCGUUAGGUGUCAGCUGAUGAAGAUAGAUUUCAUAAUUAUCCAAAACUUCCCCAAUCAUCUCGGUCAAGGGAAAUCGCAAUCCUGCCCUGAAAAAGCUUUUGAAAACCACUACUUCAUCAUCUUUCGGCUUUGGAGUGGUUUCCUCUCCGGUAAAACGAAUAAGCUUCUUCUCAGCUUCCCCUAAAUAACCCAGCUUCAUCAUCAUGGGCACAUCGGCCUCAGACAAAGUAGACUUUUCAAAAUCCAAGUGGCUGGGUUUUGAUGGGAUCAGAGUGUUAUAGUCUUCCUCUUCUUCAUCAACAUUUUCUUCUUCGAUGUCAGCUUGUUCAGCUUCGGCAGUAGGUCCACCUUCGUCAAUAGCUUCCUCUAUCACAACUAACCCCGAUUGCCUCAUGACUUCGGAGAUCGGGGCUGUCUCGGUGACUUCGGCCUCCUCUCCUUCACGGGUCACCCUUAUAGUUGAGCGUACUUCGGCCAUCUGAUGAUGAAUUUUUUGCAGUUUUCACGAAGCUGAUGUUUUUACAGUUUUUUGACGAAGCUCCCUCUUUUGACGAAGCUAAUUCAAGAUGAUGGUUUGCUCGAGAAUGCAGUGAAAAAGCUUUGGCUAUGGUUAAAUUUAUAACAGCACAACAGCGCAAUGGCAAUGAAUGUUGUGGUAACUUCACAUCUACCGGUCUGUUUAUAUAGUGCUGCAGGUGGGAAGGUGAAUCACCAAGUUGCAUGCACCAACUGAACAGUUACCCGCACCUGCUGAACGGUGGACCACUCGGCGCUUGGGAGGUGAAUCGCUAGACCACGCGUACCCGCCGCAUGGUGGGUCACCUCGCGCUCGGAAUAUUUUAAUCAUUUCUCAGCAAUGAGCUCAGGGAAGGUGUUUUUUGGACCUUCGGCAUUUCGAAGCCUUGGAGAUUUUUCACGGAUCAAGCUCGUUAUGAAAAAUGAUCUAGCACCGCGAAGGGGCUACUAUUGGGGUCUGCUUCGUCGCCGAAGGUCCUUUAAGAAGAAACACCUUUCGAAGAUUAGCACAGAAGCAAAUAUAGCGCGAAGGUACACGCCGAAGCUACCAUCUAGGGAGCUUCGGCAUAGCGACAUGCCUUGAGACGAAGGGUUGCACCGACUUAAAGAGGAAAAGACCGAUCGACCCAUGGUAAUUUGUGUCAUGAUUGUAACUAGUUGUAUAGGACAUAAAUGUAAUUUUGACCGGGCUGCGUCCCAUGCCUAUAAAUAGGUAAACAAUACCCCUGUACUGUUCACGCUGGCUUGUAUUCGCUCGUGCGUCAUGCUUGGACUCUUUGCCUUCUGUCAAACCGAAGGUAUUCAUGUAGCUUCAAUAUUGUUUUUAUUCAUCCAUGAUGAUAUAAUAAAGAUAUAUUAACAAUGUCGUAUGAUUAUUCCUGCUAUUUCUCAUGUUUCAUAUGCUUCGUCUUUCAUUAAUAUAUAUACCGCGAUGAUGAAGGUGCGUCCUUCAUGACCUUCGUCCGAAGAUCAUUAUAUCCUAAGGGAAAUAAUGCUUCAAAGGAUGAAGGGCAUUAACCACUAACCUCUUUUUUGUGUUGCCUUGUUCUUAAUUCAUAGCAUUUGAGAACAAGUCCACAACAGUAAUGAUUGUCAUCAAGGUGUGGGUAUCCCCUACAACUUGGUGUAGUUAUUAAAAAGGUCAGUUAUUUAGUUGGGUAAUCCCUUUAUUUCCACUUUCCUUUUUAUCUGAGAGGUUGUCAGUGAAGAUGAUCAUUUGUUCAUUUCUAUGAAGUUUUCCGUAUAUCUUUUCUUAAGUUGAAAGACUGCAGAGUCAGAUCUGAUUUGUGUGUACUUUCUACAGAUGUCUAAGAAUAGGCGCAGAGGUGCAAGGCGUGCUCAGCCGAAACAACAGGCACCCCAGAAGGAGGUAGCUAGCUCAGUAGCAGCAUUGCCACCACCACCCCCGAUGACAGUUCAGCAGAUGUUCAUGAUGCAAACUUAGGCAGUCCAAGCAAUUGGUCAGACCCUAGUAGCAAUGCCGCAACGGCCACCCCCACCUCAGCCUCAAGUGCAAGUUCAGAUGCCACAGGUGCCCAGAGACAAGCGGGUAGAAUUCAUGAGGGGCCAUCCCCCUGUCUUUGCCCACUCUGCUGAUCCCAUUGACACUGACUAUUGGUUGCGUACUGUGGAGCGCGAGUUGUUGCACAGUGCCCAGUGCAAAGAUCGCGAGAAGGUUCUGUAUGGUCCUCGUCUCCUAAGGGGAGCAGCACAGUCCUGGUUGGAGUCUUACCUCGCCACUCAUGCCGACCCUGAAGCCAUCACCUGGAGGAGUUCAGGGAUAACUUCCAUCGCUACCAUGUGCUAGAAGGACCGAUGAUAGUAAGGAAGGAGAAGUUUCUGGCAUUGAAGCAAGGUCCCCUGACUAUUAGUGAGUAUAGGGACAAGUUUCUUCAGCUGUCACGUUACGCUCCAGAAGAUGUCAACCCGGAUGCUAAGAGGAAGUACCGUUUUCUGAGAGGAUUGGUUGAUCCCCUUCACUAUCAGCUGAUGAAUCACACUUUCCCCACCUUCCAACACUUGAUCGACAAAGCAAUCAUGACUGAAAGGAAGCGCCGAGAGAUGGAGGACAGGAAACGCAAGAUUGGUGGAUCUCAGUCCGGGAAUAGUAGUCAUCCCCGCUACUCAAGCAACCCACCCUAGCAAUUCAAGCAAGGUCACCCUCAAGGUUAUCAGCGUCAGCAUCAGCACCAGUUCCAGAGGCAGUUUCCUCAGCAGUAGCAGCAGUACCGUCAGAACUCCCAACCGGGAGGAAAUCAGUAUCAGCAUCAAGACAACCAGACAGCUCGCCUUCCUGCCCCAGCGACCAACCAGAAUAGCCAAGCAGCUCCAGUGCAAGUAGGAGGUUGUGCAUGCUUCUAUUGUGGAGAACAAAACCACUGGACGAAGAACUAUCCAAAGAAAGCAGCUCAGCAGUCACCAGCUGUCAAUACCCCAGCAAGACAAGGAGCGCCACAGCAAGCACCAAGAGGCCGUGGUCAGGCCUACAACCGUGGAAAGGUGAACCACCUGUGUAAGGCCCAAAAUGUGUAUAUGAAGAAAAAAAUUAAUAAUAAUAAAAUAAAUAUAUGAAGGAAUAAAAUAGCAAAGUCAGUGAUCUCAAAUCAUACUUAAGUGUUGAAAUUUGAGGACUGAAUUCUUAAAACCAGGAAUUAUUUUAGAAAGGAAAUAAUAGAAAAGUUUUCUAUUCAACUAAAUGAUUAUGCAUUACAUUAAAUGGUGCACCAUAAGCUUUUAUUUACAUGAAUAUUUAAUUCCGAAGUAACUUUUACUUCUUAUCCCACAUUUAAAAUACUAUUUUUCUAAAAAGAAAGAAAACAAUAUGAGUAUUUCUCAUAUUUCAAACAUCUAUCAAACAAAUAAAUCAAUUAAAAUGAAUAUAUAGCUACUGCUUCAUAAUUAAUUUUGAGCAUGUAUUAAAAUUUGAAUUGUUAAACUAUAUCUUAGAUUGGAAUUGUAAUUUUGUAAUGUAGAAAGAAAUAUAUUAAAGUCUAAAGUGGAAUUUAAGAUCUAAAAGAAAUUCUAGAAUUUAGAAAAGGGAAGAAAGAAGAUAUUAUGUGAGUAAAAGUAAGAAUAAAGAAAAUAUAUAUAAUAAAAUAUAAUAUCUCUAUACUAGGAUUUGAAUGUGUAUAUAUGACUCAAGGGUGGAACUCAUAAGCAGAUUCAAAUUCAAAUUUGGAUUCAAAAUAAUUAUGAAUAAAAAAUCAGAAAAUAAAACAUAAUAGAAUAAUAAAAGGAGAACUUACCGGGUCGGGGAUCCUCCUUUUGGCCCACCAGGACAUUCAUCCCGUGUAGCCCAUUAGUCCAGCGGCCGGGCGCGCCGACAGCUGGGCCCGUGCGGCAGCCUCACCCCCUAUUGCGUGCUCACUGUGUUGCGGAUCCCGUUGGAUAGCCUUGCCCUUAUAUCAGGCCGCGCCAACCUCACCGCUUACAAGUGGGCCCAUUUCGUUAGCUCAAUCUCCUCCCCGCGGACUUCGCGUAACAAAAAGACCGCCGCGUCCGCGCCACCUCCGCCGCGAAUGUCGCUGAUGCGAUUGGCCGGGGGAAUAAAUGACCUGGUAAUGCGCUUCCCUCCACUCAUUUCAUUGCACCCGAUACACGUCUUCUCCCAUUUAUCAAAUCUGGCCGCCAUCAUUGGAGUCGGGAGAGAGUAGUGGGGAAUCGCCACCGUAGCCAAGCGCCCACACCGGGAAUCCUCAACUAGAUGGUGUACGAGAGUAACUGUAGAAGCCUUACGGAGAGAUUUCGAGGCUUUGCCGCGCACAUGAUCCAUUGGGCGCCUCGGAAUUUCUCGCCGCACCUUAUCAUCACUGUCGUGGUGCCUCGGGUUGCCGUGGACUAGGGUGUCUGCGCCUUCUAGGCCGGUAAGUAUCCUACCUAGUGUUCGUUAUGUUCUCCACGUUGCGCUGUGUAUCUCGGAUCGAAGUAUUAUGCGCCUUGGCGUUGGUUUGCGCGGCUCCGGUGAUGGCUCCUGUCACACCCGGUUUUGGAAGGUAAACCGAAUGCGAACCAUGUACGUGCUAGGAUCAGAACUCACGUACACAACGAUUACAUAAUUGGACAUCAUCACACAAUGCUCGAAUGAAAUAACGGAAAGGUACUCAAUUACAUCAAGAUGUUUGAGACAUCCACAGAGUCUAAUACAUAUCCAUAGGGUUCAACAAUAUUAUCAAAGUGUGGAGUAACGAAACGUAGAAGAUAAGCCUACACAGGUAGCCGACUGGGGGUUUGCCACUAAAGUAAACUAGAACUCGUCGUAGUCCUAGAACUCCUCAAAGUCCUCCAUGUUGCCAACAUCUCCUCCUGAGCACUGAGUACAGUGGGGACAACCUGGGGUGGGGUAGUUUGUAAAGCAAGGGUGAGUACACAUCAACGUACUCAGCAAGUGUCCCAUUUGGCUAAAGUGGACUAGUUGUAUGUGGAGUUAAGAUUAAGCAGUUGCUUUUAGUUGGUAAAGUUUUAUUACUAUAAGUAGAGCCAAGUUUUAGUAAUAACCCAGUUAUUACCCAUAGGCACUCCCUCCAAGAGGAAAUACCAGAGAUCAGAUUUAUAACCAUCAUUGCUAUUCAUCAUCAUAAAAGUAACCAAAGUUCUUUUAAUCGAAGAGGAUCCCAAGGCUGCUCUUAACCGUGAGCAUGGUUGAUAUACCAGUUUCUAACACUCUGCAGAGGUCGCACACUUUACCCACAAGUCGUGAUUCCCAUUCUGCCCGGGGUUCUAGCCUCCCCAUUGAUCACUACCAAGGUGACCUAGUUGGGUGUCACUACAUAGCCUUUAAAAAGAUUCCCCAGAGAUCAUAGCCGCCCGUUAGGUUUCUCCAGUUUUAUAAACAUAGAACAUCUCCCCAAAGGAAGGGUGACUAACAAAACCAAAUCAAAGAACCUCUGCAACCAGCCUCGGUAGAGCAAGUACUAUGCCCGGACCCCAUUGACGGCCCUACGGCGAAGCCAACUACUCCUCUGGUUCCUCUAACUAAUCAGCUAAGGGCAUCCCAUUCCAUCCUCAUGGUUGCACUGUUAUCUUGGGUUGUCACUCCCCAAACAGGUCCUUACGGAGAGGUACUCAGGAAACAGCCUCAGUCCCCUAAAGUAAUCACAAGAACCUCAUCGAGAUAACAUCAUCGUAUCACAUCAUGUUCAUUGAUUAAGUUAAAGCAAUAGCAUAAGCUAACCAUGAUUAACCCAAAAAGGUAAACAAGGGUAAGGUAAAUACAAACUAGUCAAUCCUUAAGUUUCAGUAACGUAAUGCGGGAUAGUGAAUUAUGAAGUAAAGUAGGACAUGAUAGGUCUGAGGACAUUUGCCUUCACCAGGUUGUUGCUCAGAGGGAUCUUCGGCAACGCACUCAAGAACCACGAGUUGCUCGUUGUCUAAAUAGAGCGAGCAUACAUUCAAUGAAGUAAAAGUGAACAUCACAUCAAAUAUGUACAAACAUUGGAAUCACAACUCAAAAGAGGUAAUCCUAAAUAAAGGAGAAUAAGAUCAAGUUAUAAAAUGGACUAAUCUUAAUUGGGGAUUGAUUACUCUCUAAGUGUUGAAACAUAACUCAGAAAGGUUAAGUAAUAAUUAUACCAAGAAAAGAUUAAAUUAUAAGAUGAAUUACUCUCAUUUAGGAAUUUGAUUAUCCUUUAAGUGUUAUCCAUAAUUACAUACCUAAUUCUAUCUAUCUCAUUAGGACCUAAAAGUUAAACCAAAAAAUGAAUUCAUGUAAUGCAUGUUACUAAUCUCACAAGAUUAAAUAUACUUUAACUCCUAGGGCUAUCAUUUUAUUUAUUUCAUUAAAUAAAUUAACAUAUACAUUAAUCCUAUAUUCUAAGUGUAAACAUAAAGUAUACAGAUUACAGUUGGUCAUAUUUUAUUUGAACAGAGAAUAAUUUUGUGAACAUUUUGCAAUUUGAACCACUAAAUUUGGAGUUUGUUGGGACCAUGCUUCGUCGCCGAAGGUCCUGCAAAAAGAAACAGCUUCAGCUGAAGCUGCUUGAACAUGAUGCCGAAGACACCGUUCACGAAGCUUCGGAACUACAGCAUAUCCGAAGACGAAGGGUAGAACCGACUUAAAGAUAAAUGACCUUUUAGCCUUCAAAGGUCUGAGUCAUUGUUGUAAACUUUUCUGAGAGGCAUAAUUGUAAUUCCUCAUGAGCUAUGUCUUGUGCCUAUAAAUAGUGAACAAUAUUCCUUUACUGUUCACAGAUUCCUGUAAUUGCUAACGCAUCACUCGGGAAUUAUUGAUUGUCAAGGCAAAGGUAUAAAUGUACUUAAAUGUUGUAUCCAAACAUCUUAAAUUCAUAUAAUAAGAUAUGUGAAUGGGGUCAUUUGUUUUCAAGAUAUUUACCUUUAAUGUUUUAUGUUUUAACUUUUCUUUGUAUUAUCUUUAUAUGUUUAAUUACGAAGGUAAAACCUUCGUAAUAUUAUGUUCGUGACCUUCGUCCGAAGUUCAUUAAAUCCUUGUGGAGAUAAUGUUUCAGCAGACGAAGGGCGUUGAUAUUUAACAUUUUAUGUUGCCUUGUUCUUAAUUCAUAGCAUUUGAGAACAAGUCCCCAACAUUGGCGCCCACCUCCGGUGAACUCACUUCCUCUUUUUUGAGCUGAUGGCUUCGUUCAACAUUCAAGUUGGAGCUGCUUCGGCUCCGAAGCUGGUACUCCCGAUAACAGGCGGUUCAUGCUCAGAGCCAGCCAACAAGAAACAGAAGAAGGAGGCACAGAGAAGGAUACAGCAUGUCGGGGUGCAGGGACCCUUCAUCAAGUCAAGAUGGUCUCACAUUCCAAUUACCUUCUCCCAAGAGGAUCUUCAACUCAAGGAUUACCCACACAACGAUGCUAUGGUUAUCUCUUGUGUGAUCAAAGGAUUCCUGGUCCAUAAUGUUUUGGUUGAUACAGGCAGCGCAGCUGAUAUCAUAUUUGCUAAGGCCUUUAGACAAAUGCAAGAGCCCGAAGACAAAAUUCAUGAUGCCACGCAUCCCCUUUGUGGCUUCGGAGGAAGGCAGAUUGUAGCACUCGGCAAAAUCACAAUGCCAGUGACCUUCGGAUUUAUCAACAACACAAGGACUGAACAAGUUGUGUUUGAUAUUGUUGACAUGGAAUACCCUUAUAAUGCAAUCAUUGGUCGAGGCACUCUCAAUGCCUUCGAAGCAAUUCUUCAUCCAGCUUAUCUUUGCAUGAAGAUACCUUCGGACCAAGGGCCCAUUGCUAUUCAUGGAAGUCAGGAAGUUGCCAGAAGGGCCGAAGGAAAUUGGACAGACUCAAAAGCAAUCCAUAAUAUAGAUGGAGUUGAAGCUUGUGAGCAAUACAAGUUCAGAAGGGAAAAAGCUGCUUCGGCUGAUCAGCCGAAGCCCAUGCUCUUAUGUGAGGACAUAGCAGAGCAGAAGGUGCUAUUGGGAUCUCAACUGUCCGAAGAACAGGAGAAAACCUUGAUAAGGUUUUUGUUCAACAACAAAGAUGUUUUUGCUUGGUCAGCUAAUGAUCUUUGCGGAGUUAACAGGGAUGUUAUUGAGCACUCGCUCAAUGUUGAUCCAUCCUUCAGACCAAGAAAGCAAAGGCUUCGGAAGAUGUCUGAUGACAAGGCCGAAGGUGCUCGAAACGAAGUGAAAAGACUCCUCAGUGCCGGAGUUAUCAGAGAGGUAAAAUAUCGAGAAUGGUUGGCUAACACUGUUAUGGUAAAGAAGGCCAAUGGUAAAUGGAGAAUGUGUAUCGAUUUUACUGAUCUCAAUAAGGCCUGUCCGAAGGACGAGUUUCCAUUGCCAAGGAUAGAUUCCUUAGUCGAUGCAGCAGCUUCAUCAGAGCUUAUGAGUCUGCUGGAUUGCUAUUCAGGCUAUCACCAAAUCUGGAUGAAGCAGGAGGAUGAACCGAAAACCAGCUUCAUAACCCCCAGUGGAACAUAUUGUUACCUUCGGAUGCCUGAGGGGCUUAAGAAUGCCGGAGGAAGUUUCAGCAGAAUGACAGCGAAGGUCCUCAAUUCUCAGAUAGGCAGGAGACCUUCGCUAAUUUGAGACAGGCUAGUUUAAAGCUGAAUCCAAAAAAAUGUGUCUUCGGAGUGAAGAAGGGGAAAUUUCUUGGUUGCCUAGUUUCAACAAAGGGAAUUGAGGCUAAUCCAAGAAAAAUCGAAGCUAUACUUCGAAUGGAACCACCAAGUACAAAGAAGGGGGCUCAAAGAUUGACAGGAAGGCUGGCAUCUCUCAACAGAUUCAUAUCUAGAUCAGCAGAGAGAAAUUUACCAUUUUUCGAAGUGCUGAAGUCAGCCGAAGUUUUUCAAUGGGGACUAGUCCAGCAGAGAGCCUUCGAAGAACUGAAGCAAUAUUUGAUAGAUCUAACAACACUAACUCCACCAACGCCAGGGGCUCCUUUGUUAUUAUAUGUGGCAGCUUCGCACUCAGCGGUAAGUGCAGCACUUGUCCUGGAGAAGCUUGAAGCCCAAGUCAAGAAGCAGGCCCCAAUAUAUUUUGUAUCUGAAGUUCUUAGUUUAUCAAAGAAAAAUUAUACAGAAUUGGAGAAAGUACUAUAUGUUGUUUUGAUGGCCUCCAGGAAGCUUCAGCAUUAUUUUCAAGCUUACAACAUAAUUGUUCCUUCUUCACAACCUUUGAAGGAUAUUAUGAGAAACCGAGAAGCUACUGGAAGGAUUGGAAAAUGGGCUGCAGAGCUCAAUGAAUUUUGUAUUGAUUAUGUCCAUAGAUCUUUGAUUCAGUCCCAAGCGGUGGCAGACUUCAUUGCUGACUGGACGCCAGGGGCUCAGGAGGAAGAAACGAAUAAAGAUGUCGAAGCAUGGACAAUGUUUUGCGAUGGGUCUUGGGGAACCUUCGGAGCAGGAGCAGCUGCUGUGUUGGUUUCACCUUCCAAAGUUAAAACUUGUUAUGCGGCAAGACUUGAUUUCAGUUGUACAAACAAUAUUGCUGAAUACGAAGCUCUGCCCUUGGGUCUUUGGAAGUUAAAGGCAAUGGGGAUCAGAAGGGCCAUUCUUAAAACUGAUUCCCAAGUUAUUUCUGGUCAUGUUGACAAGAGCUAUAAAGCAAGAGAUCCGAAGCUUGAAAAAUAUCUAGAUACAGUCCGAAGGAUCGAGGCUUCCUUUGAAGGAUUCUCUGUUAAAAAUAUUCCUCGUGGAGAAAAUGAAUAUGCUGAUCUAUUGGCCAAGUCAGCAGCACAUGGGCUGCCUUUACCUUCGGAAGUAUUUUUCGAAACAAUAAAAGCACCUUCGGUUGAGCUUCUUGAAAGAGCGGUCCUCAAUAUAUCCCCUGUCUAUAGUGAAGAUUGGAGAACUGAAAUCAUCUCUUUCCUUCAGGGUAAUUUUCUUUCAGACGACGAAGCUUACAACAAAAGAAUAGAAGCAAGAGCUCGACCAUAUGUCAUAAUAGAAGGGGAGCUGUAUAAGCGUGGAGUCUGUUCCCCAUUGCUCAAGUGUUUAUCCAGAUCCGAAGGUAUAGAAUUAAUGAAGGAAAUACACGCAGGCCUGUGUGGAUCUCACAUUGGAUCUAGGUCUUUGCUUGGGAAAGUUUUUCGUCAAGGAUUUUAUUGGCCAAAGGCAGCUUCGGAUGCAGCGGAUUUAGUCCAAAAGUGCGAAGGUUGUCAGAAAUGUGCAAGAGAUCAAAAACAACCUUCAUCUUUAACUCAAUUAAUACAACUCACUUGGCCGUUGCAAAGGUGGGGCCUUGAUUUACUAGGUCCAUUACCACCAGCACAGGGAAACUUAAGAUAUGUUGUAGUGGCAGUGGAAUAUUUUUCCAAGUGGAUUGAGGCAAAGCCUCUAGCCACAAUAACUUCGGUUACUAUUCAAAAGUUUUUUCUGGCAAAAUAUUGUUUGUCGCUUCGGAGUGCCGAAGGCCAUUACUGUGGAUAAUGGGACAUAGUUUGAUUCUGAAUCUUUCAGAGAAUUUUGUGAUCAAAUUGGUACGAAGAUCCAUUUUGCAUCAGUUCGACAUCCGGAGUCAAACGAGCUAACGGGAUCAUAAUGACAGGAAUAAUGAAGUCAAUCUUCAAUCAGCCCAGGGGAAAGUGGCCAGACGAGUUAAUCAAAGUGGUGUGGAGCCAUAAUACAACCAUGUCAAGAUCAACAGGUUUUAUGCCUUUCAAACUAUUGUUUGGGGAUGAAGCAAUAACCCCGGAAGAGGCCAAAGCAGGAUCAAUAAGAACGGUAGCUUCGGCAGAAGGUGAAGACGAAGCUGAUUGCUCUGUGGAAAAAGAUGCAAUAGAAGGGAUCAGACUUCAGGCUGUGGAAAACAUCAAUAAAUAUCAAGCCGAAACAAUAAAAUGGCAUGACAGAAAGGUUAAGCUGAAGAACAUUGAACCAGGACAUCUGGUGCUUCGAAGGGUAGCUAACCCUGAGACAGUGGGCAAACUACAACUAAAGUGGGAAGGACCUUUUUUGGUAGUAUCUUCGUCAAGACCCGGUUCCUAUAGAUUGAAGGAUAUGGACGGCAACGACAUCCCUAGGUCAUGGAAUGCGGAUGAGCUUCGGCAAUAUUAUGUUUAAUUUGAUGUAAUUUUUUCUAUUCUUUUUUGUGGCACCCUUUUCCUUUCCAAAGGGGGAGAAAGGUUUUUAAUGGGGCCACAACAUGUAAUUUUUCUUUUCCUUAUUUCGAUUCUAUAAAAGUGAUAUCCCCCAAAAAAUGUAAAUGUAAAUGCCAAGGGAAAAGAAAAGAAAGCAGGGAGAAGCUCAAAAGUCGUUCCUAAGGGAAUGCAGAGCUUACAGCGAAAAGUCAACGCUGAUUUCGCUGAAAGUAAAAGGCGAAGAAGCUCCUAAGGGAGGCUUACAGCGAAAAGUCAACGCUGAUUCCGCUGAAAGUAAAAGGCGAAGAAGCUCCUAAGGGAGGCUUACAGCGAAAAGUCAACGCUGAUACACUGAAAAGUAAACGAUGAAGCUGAAAAGUGAAAAGAUUUGAAUCAUUCCCAAUAUUCAUCUCCACAAUACAUUUCAUCAUGUCAUUUGCAUUCAUAAACAUUCAUUUAGACAUAUAUAGAAUCAUCAUCAUAUCACGCAAAAAAGAUAGGCGCUUCGGCAAUGAGGAAAGACUUCGAAAAAGGAAAAUUUUUUAUGCUUCGUUAUGUACGAAAAGAAGGGAAGGUGUUUUUCGCUUUCGGCUCAAAAAAGAAGUUUCGUCCACAACAAAGCAUAUUGUACAUAGAUAGCGGAAACAAAAUAUAUUACAAGGUAUGUACAAAUUUACAUGAGUUUUUCCAUAAUAAUAUUACAAAAGUCUCUCCAGAAUUUUUGCAGGAAAGAAUAUUGUAGCAACUAUCAAGCUUCAGCUUCAUCAUACUUCAGCUUUGUCAUACUUCAGCUUCGUCAUCCUACGAAUAUUAAAGAACAGAAUAAGAAAGGUGCAAAUUUCAAGGAGAAGGUAAAAGUAACAAAUAUAAGCUUCUUACCGGCUUAAGAUGACUUCGAGCUUCGUCACCCGCCAUUUUCCGCCCGCCAUUUACCCAAAUCUGGGUCAUAAAUCUAUUUCCGAUACUUCGGGCUAGGCUUGGAAUAUCUAUCAGAUCUGAUGAUGAUAAGCUGAAGUUGGGCCUAUUGACAAUUUUUCCAUGCGUGCAGCUAGCCUUUAGAAAAGCGGUAGCUGUGCCCCGAGAAGCUACCAGGGCGCAGAAGUCAGCAUGGCCACCAAUAACUUCGUCAAGAGCUUCAACCUCGCCUUCAAUAUAUUCUUAUGUGCUGGGCAAGUUUUCAGCUGAAGGUGUAAAUUUUUCAGAGCUGGCUCCAAUAGAAUGAAACACAUCCUUCAGCCGCUGCACGCAUCAUCUGCCGAAGCUUAGGCAUUUCUCUUGAAGCUCAUUCAAGGAUUUUUGCAAAUUUGAAUUCUUUUCCAUAUCAGUUUUAAGACUUGCUUCAAGGUGUUUCUUUUCCUGCUCAGAUUUUUCUAGUUGUUUGAGCAAUUCAUUUUUUAAACUGUUAUUCUUGGCUUGGACCUCAGCCAAGGAGCCUUCCAUAGACUGAAUAACAAAGUCUUUCUUUUCUAAUGCACCCUCGUGUUCUUUAGUCAUGAUUUCAAGGUCCUGGAUGGUGAAGUCCUUCUUUUUCAGAACAGCUUCGUAAUUUUCAACUUUUUCUUCCAAAUCUUUGAUGAUAGUUUUGUUCUUCUCGUCUUCGAGAUCUUGUUGCAUUUUUAGAACCUUACUCAAUAAUAUACUCUGCCAAAACAAUCUUCGUCAGAAAAUGACCUAAAAAAUAAAUAAAAUAAUAGUAAUAAAAUUUGUUACCUUAAAAUUAGCAUAGAGCAGGCUUCCGGCGAUAUGGUGUCGUUGAUACCUGCAGAGGUCCGCUUCUAGUUUCGGCAGGCCAACGCUUUUGGAGAGGGUUCUAACAACUUUGGCCUCGGUGCGGUUCCGAAGGCAUCUUAGCUUCCCUUCGUUGACCCCACCAAAUAGCGUAGCCCCUGGCUUAUACCCGCAAGAUAUGGCAUAUUUUUUCAACUCUUCUUUUUCGGUGCCUGUUAGCUCUUGUCCAAGCAAAUCUUGAAAGUUAAAACUUUCUUCUUCUAAAGUGUCAUCGAUCUGCUCCUUUCCCUUUCCAGUUGCCGUGGUUACCGCAGUCACAGCAGCUUCUUCCUCAGCCAUUUUCAGGAGAAUAUUGUCAAUAACUUCAAGGGUGGUUUCCAGAUUCGAACCUUCCAUGGUCCCAGCUUCGGCCCCAGCAGCUUCGGCGUCGCCGAUUUCAGCUUCGGUGGUUUCCACUCUAGAAGCUUCGGCUGCGGCUCCUUCGGCUUCAGCGGUCUCGGCAAAAGCAAUUUUUGACACUGUCGCCGGUGGUAGCGUCUGGUGAAUUACAUCUGCUAUUUGAAUAAUUCUUCGUUUUUUCGGCAGUGCAGGACUUUCUUCUGCCGAAGUUGUUUUGUCCUUCUCAAAAAACUUCGUCAGUUCCGGCGCCAGCGGACUUAGCUUGACAGGCAAGGGUUCAGUCAUUACCUUCAUAAUCUCUUCUACUUCGGCAGCAGAAGGCGUUGCAGGAGUGUCUUCUUCUCAAACCAACGUUUUUGGUUCUGGAGAUGCAUUUUUUCUUUUUCUUGCAGCGGCCACCUUCGGCUCAGGGCUCAACUUUUCAGGACUCAGCUUUUGAGAAGUCUCCUUUUUCUUUUUGGUCACUUUGGUGCUCUCUUCGUCAACGGCACUGACAAUUCUUUUUCUCUUCGGGACGCCAGCAUCUCCGCCCAAUCGCCCAUAGUCAGGAUAUUCAAAGCCUAUAGCAUCAAGUACUCUGUUUAGCCUUCGUUUCGGCCGGGUGCCGAAGGCUGCUGUCAUCAAUUGGUCCUCCUUUUUAGAGUAAUUUCCAAGAAUUUCAGUACUCAUUAUUACGAUUGUAUCGAGCCAUUCUUGGUAGGGUGCCUUAAAAUAUUUAUUGAAUUUAUAAUGAUAGGGUAGUCGGACAAGCUCCCCCUCUUUCUUAUCUCCUUUAAGCUUCGGCAUAGCCCAUUCCUUCAUAGUUGGAAAUACUUUGAAAGCCAGAAAUUCUUGCACCAAAUCCCUAGUGCCAAUGUGCUCUGCAAUAAUUCUGAAUUCAGCCAACGCCGUUUGGGUUGGACCUUCUGGUGUCAUAUUGCACUGGGGUCGGGUUUCUCUGAAGAUUAGUUCAAGCGGACUCUGUACAAGCUUCUCCUUGUCGUCCUCAACUUUGACGUAGAACCAUUCUGAUUUCCAGCCUGCCGGCCACUUGCUUCGAUAGCUGAUCACAGGAAAUUUUGUAGUUUUCCGAUAUGCAAAGUUGUAACAACCAAAGUUUUCAUGUAGCCCAUCCUUUCUGGCCUUAGUUUGGUAGUGUAGCUCGUGUACUCGGCAGAAACCUUCGGCAAAUGGCUCCACUGCUUGGCUUCGGAGAGCCCAAAUAUAAACACUAAGCCUAACAAUAGCGUUAGGAGUUAGCUGGUGAAAAUAGAUCCCAAAUUUUUUCAGCACAUCGGCAAUCAUCCUAUUCAAAGGAAAUCUCAAACCAACUUUGAGGAAACUCUUAAAAUCACUAUUUCAUCUUUUUGUGGCUUUGGGGUAAUCUCUUCUCCACCAAAGCGAAUCAUCUUUUUCUCAUCUUCGCUGAAGUAGCCCGACUUCACCAUCUUUGGGAAAUCAGCCUUCGAGAUAGUCGACUUCCCGAAGUCCAGAUGACUAGGCUUGCUCGGUACUGCGAUAUUGUAAUCAUCGUCAGUACCAGCCUCCUCAAUAUCUGCUUGUUCUGCUUCAGUAGCAGGGAUGUCUUCUGAUGUCAUCAAUCCAGAUCGCUUCAUUGCUUCAGAGAUAGGAACAGUUUCCGCACCUUCGGCUUCGUCUCCCUCGUGCUCAACUCUAGCAGUAGAGCGCACUCUGGCCAUUUAAUUUUGAAUUUCUUAAAAAAUUUCUUGGAAAAUAAUAACCUUCUCUUCCGAAGCUCUUCUUCUGAUGAAGCAAACACCAAAUUGGAGCUUCGUUUGAAUGCCAAAGUCAAGCUUCGGUUAUGGUUAAAAAUUUUGGCAGCACAACAGUGCAAUAGCAAUGAAUGCUGUGGUAACUUCACACCUACCCGUCUGUUUAUAUAGUGCUGCAGGUAAGAAGGUGAAUCGUCAGGAUUUUCACACCAGGCAAACAGUUGCUCGCACCCGCUGAACGGUGGGCCGCAAAAACCAGAACAGUGAACCUGCAUGGUGGGACCGCUACACGCUCGAAAGCUGUAUUGUUUCUCGACAACGAGAUCAGGGAAGGUGUUUUUCGGACCUUCGGCUUCCUGAAGCCUAAGAGACUUUUUUCACGGAUCAAGCUCGUUACGAAAAACGAUCUAGCACCGCGAAGGGGCUACUGUUGGGACCAUGCUUCGUCGCCGAAGGUCCUGCAAAAAGAAACAGCUUCAGCUGAAGCUGCUUGAACAUGAUGCCGAAGACACCGUUCACGAAGCUUCGGACCUACAGCAUAUCCGAAGACGAAGGGUAGAACCGACUUAAAGAUAAAAUGACCUUUUAGCCUUCAAGGGUCUGAGUCAUUGUUGUAAACUUUUAUGAGGGGCAUAAUUGUAAUUCCUCAUGAGCUAUGUCUUGUGCCUAUAAAUAGUGAACAAUAUUCCUUUACUGUUCACAGAUUCCUGUAAUUGCUAACGCAUCACUCGGGAAUUAUUGAUUGUCAAGGCAAAGGUAUAAAUGUACUUAAAUGUUGUAUCCAAACAUCUUAAAUUCAUAUAAUAAGAUAUGUGAAUGGGGUCAUUUGUUUUCAAGAUAUUUACCUUUAAUGUUUUAUGUUUUAACUUUUCUUUAUAUUAUCUUUAUAUGUUUAAUUACGAAGGUAAAACCUUCGUAAUAUUAUGUUCGUGACCUUCGUCCGAAGUUCAUUAAAUCCUUGUGGAGAUAAUGUUUCGGCGGACGAAGGGUGUUGAUAUUUAACAUUUUAUGUUGCCUUGUUCUUAAUUCAUAGCAUUUGAGAACAAGUCCCCAACAGAGUUCAUAUGAAAAAGAUAUGAAAUAAACAAGUUUUGAAGUUUGAAAUAUGAAAUUAGGGCUAAAUCUGUGAUUAAAUAAAAGUAUAGGGGGCUAUUCAAAAUAAAUCAGGGACCUGCGCGCUAAAACAGAGGACGGUGGGUUGAUUUCCUAAAACCAGGGGGCUCUUAAGCAAAACUCACACGCGAAGGGGUACGGGGUAACCUCGGCCAUCGGAUCAGAGAUCAGCGGCCCAGAUUAGAUCGCACGGGCGCGCGCGCGGGGCGCGGGCGUGCGGACGCGGCUGACAAGCGGGGUCAGGGCGUCAGCGGGCCAAGGUGGGCUGACCAGCCGAGCCCAGAGGCAGAGACGCGGUGGAGGGGGAAGAGAGAGAGAUGGUCAGAUCUAGAUCGGAGGGCUGGGAUUAGAUCCGCUCGGAUUAAGUCUCAACCGCCCGAUCUUGGACGGACGCCCGAGAUCUAACGGCCAAGGGAGGGCAUGGGCGCGGUGGUGUCGCUUGGUCCCGCGGCGAGAGCACGCCGGAGACGAGGGGACUGGCCACGGCGGGGCUCCCGAGGCUUGGGGACUAGCCUCGGCGCGAUCGAGGCGGUCUGGCGGGUUCAGCCAUGGCCUUCACGCUAGCGCAGAGGCACCAGAGAGCACAGACCACGGCGGGGCAGGCUAACGACGAUGCGGGAUUGCUCCGGUGAGCAAUCGCGCGAGCAACAGAGCGGGGAUGACCAAAUUAAGGGUACGAGCAGGUUGCUCACCUUUAGGGGAAGCGCUGGAGUCACGAAGCAACGGCGGAGCCACAGGGACGCGACGAGGCGACGGCGGAGGGACUCCGGCUGCGCAAAUACUGCUCCGGUGAGUGCGGACCGGACGAAACAGAGAGGGAGAGGGCACACCGAAGGGUGUCCCGGGCAGCUGACAGCGAGGCGGAGCUCACCGUGGCACUGGACAGGGCGAGGACGCGACGGUGACCGCAUAACAGGCAGCGGUCGACGGCAGGCAGUGGCGGAGCUCUCUGCACGCCUAGGCAGAGCGAGAGAGAGGGCGAGAGAGUCUGGCAGAGGGCGCAAAUGAGAGGGGAGGUGGGCGAGCAAGGCGCGGGGCUCAAAAGGGGCGCGGGUGCGCGGACGUGGGCGCGUCCAUGGCGGGGUGAUCGUGGGCGAGAGGUUAGAGACGGCUGACAGGUGGGGAUGGCGGGACAGAGAGAGAGCAGGCGCGAGGGAAAGAGAACGGCGCCGACAACUCGGCCCCAUAGAGCAGUGAGAGAGAGAGGGAGUGAGCGCGCUCGGGUUGGCGCUGACAGGCGGGGCCCGCCUGUCAGGCACCGAGGGCGCGCGGGCGUAGGCGCGCGCGGGCUGGUCUUAUUGGGCUGGCUUGGGCCGAAAUGGCCUUUUCCUUUUUCCUCGAAUUUCUAUUGCCUUUUCUAUUUAUUUUCUCUAGGGUUUUGAAUUCAAAUUCAAAUCAAGUUUGAAAUUCAAACCAAAUCAAAUAUGUGCAACAACUCAAAAAAUAUUUAGGCUCAGUAUGAUGCAACAUUCCAUGACUCAUAUGUUUUGGGCAAAAUAAAAUAAAUAAUCCUUCACUUAUACAACCAACUCUAAUUAAAAGAAAAAGAGAGGGAGAAAGCUAGAGAGAGAGAAACUAGAGUGAGAUAGAGAAGAGUAACACCUGAAUUUGGAUGAUCAUAAGAAUCUCAAGUGUCAGGCAAGUUGUGCCCUUGAUCUACUUUUGUUCUCCAAUAAUGUUCUUUAUUAUCACUAUUCAAUGCAUAGGAUCAAUUUUGAUGGGACCCAAUAGGUCACCCUAGUCUAUUUAUCUUAUUACCUUGUUUACCCCUGAAUCAUUUGGGUAGUUUUUGCUAUUUCUCUAUAUGGUUUUGGGAUUAAUACUACAUUAUAUCCAUGUUCCAAUUAUUCUGUUAUGUUAUUUAUGUUCAUGUCAAGAUCAUUAAUGUUAAUUGGAACAUGGAGCUUAACUUGAGAAACACGUGCCACCACAAGGGAGGAAUGGGACCCCUUGGCUAACUAAUUAGGAAAGCUAGUGGAAGACUACCUUACUCGAAAGGGGCAAGGGUAGUAGGGGAGUUGCAUGCAAGGAGGUUCUCGGGUUGAUUUUGCUGCGAUGGUGGUCAGACGGGGGAUUCUUGCAAGUGCACUUCCCAUAAACUGUAGCGGGUUUUCGGAAGCUAGUGGAACAUUGUAAAUGCCUCGUAGUGGAUCCCUAGCCAUUCACCUCAGUAGUGUCUAAGGGCCUUGCAAACCCUGGCGACAUGGGAUACACGACUUGUGGAUAUAGGGUACAACCUCUGCAGAGUGUAAAACCGGUAUACUAGCCGAGCUCACGGUCAUGAGCAGCUCAGGACUCUCGCAUGAUUAAUUUAUGUAAUUUAAAUUCAAUUUUGUCAUUCGCAUUUGCAUGGGAUUAUUUAUUAAUUUUGUUCUAUUACUUUUAUUAUGGUUUGGUAUUUACUUACAUUAAGAAACUGCUAAUAAAAUUUGACCAAUUUAUAAAAGCAAUGCUCAGCUUCAACCGUUACUUUGUUGAUCAGCUUUACACAUCACAUGAACUCCCACCUUUGGUGAGUUCAUGCCACAUUAUUCCCCACAACUUGUUGAGCGAUGAACAUGUGUGAGCUCACCCUUGCUGUCUCACACCCCCUACAGGAGAAGAACAGGUGCUUCAAGAGGAGACACGUAUCGAGGAGUUUGAUUCGAUCAAGGUGGCGUCUCCCAGUUGACUUUAUGGCGCCAAGGAUGAUCCUUAGUUCGUUUUAUAUUUAUCAUUUUAUUUUUGUAAGACUUCCGCUAUGUAAUAAGUACUCUGAUUAUAUUGUGACAUUUAUUUCUAUACACUCUAUUAUUAUAUGUGUUGUCUUCUUUGGCGCACAUAUGAGAUGCACCCGUCUUUAUCCCUUAAAACCGGGUGUGACAAAAGUGGUAUCAGAGGAAUGUUGACUGUAGGACGAAACCUAGAUAGAACUGGACAACCAUUGUCUACUUACCUUUGGUACUCUGAAUCUUUUCUAAACUUUUUUUAAUCUUUUCUUAUCUAUUUCCGCUUUACUCUGAUUAUUCUUACCUUUUCCUUCUAAACACAAAUGUGGAUUUCACACUUGGAAAUGCUGUACCUAAAGUGACCUUUAGGAAUAAGAGACCUACUCUUAGGAACAAAAACAAAACUAAUUUUAUAGGUAUCUAUGUGCUUGAAUGCUUGUUCUUAUGAUGCUUGUUUGAUUUGGAUCUUUGAUUGAGUGUGACGAGUUGUGGAGUAAUGUCCACAAUUACAUCUACAUAUACAUAUAGGCAUAAAUAUAAAUGAAUAAAAUUCAUGAGAUAACUAAACAACUUAGAUUAUCCUCCAUUGAAGUGUAUCUAUUUCAUAUAAACCCUUCUUAUCUUGAAAGGUUCUCUCUUAUCUUGAUAGAUCCAUCUUAUCUUACAAGAUUCUUUCUUAUCUUAAUAGAUCCAUCUCAUCCUACAAGAUUCUUUCUUAUCUUAAUAGAUCCAUCUUAUCUCAAAAAGAUUUUAUCUUACCCUAAUAGAUCUAACUAAUCUCAAAAGAUUCUAUAUUAUUCUUAUAGACUCAUCUUGUCCUAAUGAGCAUACUUCUCCCACCACUUUGCUUAUCUCAUAACAAUGUAACACACAUGAUCUAUUCCAAAAUAAAUUAAGUAGAUCUUAUCUAGUUUAAUCUGAUUACACCAAUUUAAUUCUGACCCCAUCUAAUCUGACCAGAUCUAAUCUAAUGGAGAAACGUGAUAGAUAAUACUGGGAAAAUAGGUUGGACCCUACUUCUAUAAACAUGUUUUAACCUAAAUUGGUGCUCUAGAUUAACUAGACCACAUACAACUACCUAACCAUAUGUGACUACCUUAACCAUCAGAUAGUUGCAUAACCCCUCUGUUUUUAACCAAACAGAGAUUCUGAUGUACCUACACCAUAUAAUCCAUCCUAUCUCAAGAGAUUCUAACAUAUCCUAAUAAUAUAUAUCCUACCAUGGUGGAUUUAUCUAACUUAAACUAGUCUAAUCUAGUUAUAUCCAAUCCAAUCUAGACCCUACCUAAUCUAAUAUGAUCCAAUCUAAAGUGAGUUACUUAAACAAGUUUGUUAAUACCGAUAGCAUAGAUUGGACCAUAUACUUAAACAAGUUCGUUAAUAUUCUUAUAAACGGGUGUUUUAGACCAACUCGUUCAUGAAACCACAACCCGGUCUAUGAUAUAGGUUGCCCAGACUAUUUAUCUCACAAGAAAAGUAAAACUCUAUUUAAUCUACCUACCCCAUGUACCCGCAUUGUUAUCUCAACUCAGAUAAUGGCAUCUAACACACAACUGAUGGUCCCUAAGUCAGACCCCCAAAGGAAGCUCGAUUAUGCCAUAGUACACUCAUUCUAUGUCAACACUCACCUAAUAGUUAAAACAUGAUGUACCCUUGUUUCUAUACCACACCUGUUAAUGGCAUGAAAAUUUUAGGGGUAUGAAAUAUAUACUAAUUGGAAGUUCCACUGAGAUAAAAAAUAUAUACUAGAAUUUCAUAAAGAUGAUAUGCUCAACCAAAUGAUAUUCUUAAAUUGGAUUAUGGAAUCUAGUGUGACCUAAUCCAAUGCGGUCUACUUAAACAUAUUAGUGGUACUUGGACCCUUCUAGCCAGGUGCAGACAAACUUAACUGUGAGUAUGAGCUAACCCAACCCAUAGAGUCAUGAUGAAUGGCAUAAUCUAUCUGUCACCACCAAAUGUCAAACAAGUUUUUGACCUACACCAUAUAGUUUAUCUCAUCUUGACAAAUUCUAUUUUAACCUUGGAUAUUUACCUUAUACAACAAGUUACCCCAAGCUUGAUAUAAAACAACGGAUUAAGCCAUGUCAAAGAAUCUUCAGAUCAUAAGCAGCUGUUAGCCUAUUCGUCUGCCUGCCAAAUAAUUUUCCUUGCAAAAAUUAUAUUACCAUAUGCUUCUAACUUCGAUGGUCAAUAGCAGGAAGGAGAGAUUAUCAAGCAACAUCAAACAGAAAUGAAUCCUCCAGAUCCUCCACCAGUUGGAAUCGAUCAAGUGGUUGCCACCCGAAUGAUGGUAAUACAACAAAUGGCAAACAUGGUUACCGAACUGGAAAAUCAGAUAAGAUGAUGUGUCACGAUGCCAGAUCUUCAUGACGUAGGAUCAAUCUUGAGAUAACUAGCUUCGAAGAAGCUAAGAUAACUUGCUGCAAGCAGCAAUAACUAGUGCAACCUAACAAAUAAAACUCGAAGCCAACCACCGUCUUGAACCGGCAACCUGAAUCGAGGAUUCGCCCAACCACACUCUCAAAGAACCAACCAACACAGUCUACAAUCAAUCGAGGAGACCUCGAAGGGAGUAGGAGCACCACUUGGGAGUGGAUGAAGUCGCCGCUUCUGCAAUCCCGCUUAGAAAUUCACAAGAUCAAAGGGGUAGAGAUCACUCUCAUUAUUUGUUAGCACACAGCUGAACAAAGGGGUUCUGUUUUUAGAUUAUCAAAAGUUGUCUUACAUCAUAGACAUAGGGGGGUAUUUAUACUAGUAACAACCAGCCUUAGAGAGGUAUAAACAUGAAACAAAAGUGUUUUCACGUGCUAAUGUGAAGGAGCCUCUUCGAGAGAUCUGCAGAGCUUAUUUUCGUGUGGAUGUUUGACUUCUGCGCAGCCUUUGGUAUUUUGAUAAUAACUUCUCCUAGGAAUCUUCAAAUGACGUGGGGCUAGAUGCAUUGGAAAGCUGACUUGAUAAGCUUUCUCACCAUAUAUAGCAUGCUUAAUGAAACUACGUAGAAUGAUGCAGUUUAAUACGUAAACUUGGUCAUCAAACAUAAUGUUGACCUUCUGACCAGUCAGCACUAAAGUAGGUCGGCUGCCUUUCUGAUAGAGUUGAUUAAGUCGGCCUUAUAAUCAUUGGAAACUAGACUUCAAGAGCUUUCCAAAAAGUACUUAUGGGCCUUCAUAGCUUUUGGGAAUCAAAAGAUAUGACUGUUUCUUCUGGACGGUUCUGUUGCACUGGACUGACUCGGACAUAGCUCUUCUUGCUGAUUCGCCCUUAAUAAGUUUUGUCCUUCCUCUUUGGUGAACCUAAGUAAUAUCAACAUACACGACUUAGGUAGCAUAAAGUUCUCAUUACUAUUUAAUUGAAAUUCAUAAAGUAGCGCGUGCACCUCUUGUUGUAGCUAGUUAGCUCGGCUAUGUAUAAUUGGUCCAUCAAAGACUUGGGAAGGUGAUGAUGUUGGUUGUACUUGAGUUGAUGUAGUAUGACUUGGAGGUUGUAACGUGUUGCUUAAUGGUGUGGUCAUAUCAUCCUUCUCCCCCUUGAAAAGGAGUCGUCUCCGACUCUGAAGUGUCUUUACUCGUAUAUGGUAAGAGGUCAGCAACAUUGAACAUGUUGCUCAUGACAUAGCUUGGUGGAAGAUCUAUCUUGUAUGCAUUAUCAUUGAUCUUGGCAAGAAUAUGAAAUGGAUCAUGCCCUCGUGGCAUCAAUUUUGAUUUGCGCUGAUCAGGAAAACACUCUUUGCGCAAGUGAAUCCAAACCACAUCCUCCGGUUCAAAUAACACUUUCUUCCUAUGCUUGUUCAUGUUUGCAGCCUUGCACACUACUUUGAGCUCAAUUGUUUCAUUGGUCUUCUCAUGUAUCUUUUUAUAUAUGCAUCACGCUUGGAGGCUUCCAUAUUGGUUCUUUCAUUCAUUGGAGCUGGUCAAUCCUUGAUUGCUUUCACCUUGGAUUCAUCCACUUCUAUUCCCUUUCCUGAAACAUCAAAGCCAAGAAACACAACAUGGUCUGUGCAAAAACUACACUUCUCAAGAUAAGCAAAUAAUUUCUCCUUUCUAAGCUCAUCUAAGACUUGCCAAAUGUGUUUCACAUGUUCAUUAAAAGACUUGUUGUAAAUUAGAAUAUCAUCAAAGUAGACACAAAUAAAUUUUCCAAUGAAAGUUCUUAAGACAUGGUUCAUUAAUCUCAUAAAAGUACUAGGAGCAUUUGUCAAACCAAAUGACAUCACUAACCAUUCAUAAAACCCAAAUUUUGUUCUAAAUGCAGUUUUCCAUUCAUCUCUAGUUUUAAUUCUUAUUUGAUGGUAUCCACUUCUCAAAUCAAUUUUAGUAAAAAUUGUGGAACCACUUAAUUUAUCAAGCAUACCAUAUAGCUGUGGAAUAGGAUGGCGAUAGCGAACGGUAAUAUUAUUUAUAGCUCUCCAAUCAACACACAUCCUCCAAGAUCCAUCUUUUUUAAGUACUAAAAUCAUAGGAAUAGCACAAGGGCUUAAACUUUCACGAACAAAACCUUUAUCAAGAAGUUCUUGCACUUGCCUUUGUAUCUCCUUAGUUUCUUCAGGAUUGGUUCGAAAUGGUGGACGGUUAGGAAGUGCAGCCCCUAGAAUGAGAUCAAUUUGAUGCUCAAUCCCACGAAUUGGAGGUAGUCCAGUCAGUGUUUCUUGUGGAAACACAUCUUCAAAGUCCUGCAAAAGAUCAGCCACAACACUAGGAAGAGAUGUUAUGUCGUUAGGAGAAAUCAAAACAUAUUUGCUCACAAGUACAAAGAGCACUUGAUAUGGGUUGUUCCUCACAUCUCUAUGCUCAGAUUUUGUGGCUAGCAUAACUAGAUGUUCUCCCUCUUCUUUCUUUUUAUCUUUUGAAUUUGGCUUGUAGCACUCACUCAUUGAAUUGUGGAUGGCACUUAAUUUCUUUUGCUCUUCUCCUCCUCUACUUGCUGCACUAAUUCCAGUUUUCUUUUGUAAGUGUUCAGCCAUGAUUUGUUGAGGGGUCAUAGGCUUGAGUACAUACUUUCUCCCAUUCAGAUCUAGUGUGUACUGAUUUGUUAUUCCAUAAUGCUGAAAAUAACAGUCAUAUUGCCAAGGUCUUCCCAGCAGCAAGUGACACACAGACAUGGGUGCAACAUUGCAAUCCACUAUGUCAACAUACUCUCCAAUCUUGAAUGAAACUUUCACCUUAUAACCAAUCUUGAUAUCUCCUGAUUCAUUCAACCAUUGGACAUGAUAUGAAUGAGGGUGUCGCCGCAACUUCAGACCAAGCUUUUCAACCUUCUCACGACCUACAAGAUUAUGAUAGCUUCCUCCAUCAAUAAUCACCUUUAGUACUUUGUCUUGCACUUUUGCUCUCGUUUGAAAAAGAUUAUGUCGCUGUCCAAUUUCAGCUUCUUUCAUUUGAACACUCAAUAUUUGUGUAACCACAAGAGCGGUACCAUGCUCAAAUUCACAUCCCAUAUGUUCUUCAAAGUUAUCAAUGUCAUCUACAUUUCCUGCUUCAGCUUCCUCUUCACUAGCUGAUGUAUAUUCUCCAUCAUUAGUGACAAGGAUCACACGAUUAUUUGGACACUCCUUAAUGACAUGACCACGACCUCCACAUUUGAAGCAAUGAAUACCACUACUCUUGGCUGUAGAGCCCACUGAUGUAGAAGUGGAUGCUGCUGAUUUAGAACCCAUGAUUGGAGCAGCAGCGUUCUUUCCACUAUAAUUGCUUUGAAUGUGGGAUCACAAGUCUUCAGUUGAACCUUUUGACGAAGGGUAAAACUCCUAAGCCUACCAUGUCAAUUCAUUCAUAUUCGGUUAGGAGACACAAAAAUGACACUUGUGCUAGAAAGGUAAUUAGUUCACCUAAAACUAGCACAAAGGCCAUUUGGGUGCCAAAGUACUUGUCGGUGGGAAAAUCCUCCGGCCGGGUGGCGGAAUGCACCCGCCCUAAUCCUAAUAUGAGGAGGGGGCCUAAGAGCUUGCCUGUUUGGUGAAUGUCGGUUGAACACAAGAACACUCGAGGGUUUAUAGUGGUUUAGGCCGAUGGAGCGUAAUACCCUACCUCCACUAUGUAUAAGUUGUAUUGAGCGUGUCUCUUGUAACGCUGUGUCCCCUCCCUUUUAUAGUUUAAGGGGGGUACAUAUAAGGACGCUGAGCCCCGACAUGCGGGCCCAGGAGAAUAAUGGAAGGAAUACAUUAUGUGAAUAACUAAUGCUGACAGUACACAUGAGUAGAGGCGUAUAGGCGGAGCCGUUCAGAUUCCCUCCGCCUUAGUAACGCAUGAGUAAUCAGCGGGAGUCAUGAUCACCGCAGUCCAUACAGUAUUGAUAGGCAGUGACCCUUUUCCUGGUAACGCGGGAGUAAUGGUGAGUCAUUGUCCUUGCUAUGGUAACGUGCGAGUAACAGCACGGCCCACGCAACGUGGACAGGGCGUGCCGUCUGUCACUGGAGUGGACACACGCACGUCUUAUCCGUAAUAAAUGCAAAGACGCGCGUAGCCCAGAGGCUUUAUGUCAGGCUCCUCCCAUUGGCUUACGUCGCGCACAGUAGGCCACGUGGCAGCAUCGGGUCUCCGCCUGGGCAGGGAGCAGGAGUGUAUGUGAUAAGGCCCAGAUCCCACCAGAUCAGGUCUGGACACGUGUCAGCACCUAUGCGGGACAGAUAUCCCCCGGGUACACUGGAAGGAUAAAAGACCUCACAAAAGGCCCGAGGGCCCAAUAAAUCGUAAGGUCAUCCCUUCUUGGGCCUCGGGAAGAAUGACCAGUGAAGCAGAUCGACACAAGGCCGGAUCGGUGCGAGCCCAAACGGCCCAACAACGUCGAGCAAGUAACCACAACAGAGACCCGACUUUCCCGCGUUGGAGCCCCGUACAACGGAACCAAGCAAGGAUGAGUCGGCAGAACUAUAGGAAGAUAGACUCAAUCAGUUCACUAUUUCUUAGGUGUGCAUUGUUAUCAUAUCCGCAUGUAUUGCCUCACGGUCGAAUAUAUAAGGCGUAGGGGGCACCCCUUCAGAAGGAUCGAUCUCACUACUCAGCCACCCACCUCAACUCUCUAUGUUCCCUAUACUAGAGAGUUCCCUUGUAAUCCACCACAUAAAGCAUUCCCGCCAGGACGUAGGGUGUUGCGCAUCUCUAAGCGGCCCGAACCUGUACAUCAUUGUUCACAGUUUCUCGUGCGCCUAGCACGAACCAUCGAGCUAAAGUCGGCAACAUCGUCCUACUCCUAAAAACACCUUGAGGGGCAACCCCGGGUGUGCGGUCGGACCCAAAACACCGACAGCUGGCGUGCCAGGUAGGGGGUGUGUCGCUGAUCUAAGCUAGCUCAAUGGCCGUCACCUUCAACCGCAAGAUCACCCUCCGCCCCGGAUCCGUGUUCUGCUUCGGAACUAUCUCAUCCGUAGCAGAUGAAGAAGGAACUCUACAUCGCAUCGCAGACCCGCCCAGGAAGAAGUCUCCUCCAACAACCUCCGAAAAUGUCGGAGUAAGACAGGGAAAAGCUCAACCUCCAGCGCUCCAAAAAAAGAUCGCCUUCAGCAAGCCAGGGGACGAGGGUCCGCUGACCCGGAGAACUCCACUGUCUACCUCCCCGACGAAAGAAUGGACACAAAUCGCAAGGAAGAAAGAAACAAAUAAAACCGGGAGGAAGCAAGUCGUUCUUUCCGUGCCUCUGCCCUCAAAAGAGAACGGAAAGAAGAUCGCCCCGACACCCGCACCAUUCUACCCCGACGUCCUCUUCAUCGGGAGAGUGGAGUCGCCCCCCGUCUCCGACGACGAACCGACCGCACCCAGAGAGGAACCUCCUCAGCGGGAAUCCCGUCGACGAAGGAACCGACGCCGAAAUAUCCGGUGACAUCACGAGGCCAGAGAGCGGGACCUGGAGCAGCCUGUCUCGCGAGACGAGGUCUCAGAGAUAGGAGAAACUCCGGAGGAACGUGUCUUCAGAGAACGGAUGAAUUCCCGACGGCGUGAUCACCGACGGGCUCAGGAACAAGCCGAGCAGGAGGCAAGGCAGCGUCGGGAAAAUCCACUCUUCGGGCGCAACCUGAACCCCGACUUCGCCCGAGCCAUGAACACGCCGAGUGAAGUCGGAGGGGUACUGGCUCGGAUAGCUGAUGGACUCCCUCGGACUCCCGACGCCGAGGGCUAUCGACGACUAUUCACUCAAGCAGCCAACCAUCUUCUACCUCUCGCUCACCCGCCAAACGACCUACGACACACCAUCAACAGCCACCGGGACGUGCGAAGCUCCAUCAACGCCUCGCGUGAUCGACGACAUGAGAACGAGAUCCGCCGACGGGAAGAGUACGACUGGGACCACUGAUAGAGCUGGAGUGCCCGAUCUUUCGGUGAGUGGAGAUAAUUCCGAUUUGGUGGAAGUAGACCCUCAUGAUCCAACUACGACGAGCGAUCCCGAAGCGCCAAUGCAAUCGUUGAACCAACUUCCAAUGGUUACCGACCUUGCUGAUGCGAGAUCGGCCUGAUCACGAAGAUCGUUUCCUGUGCGCAAUCGAAGAACGAACAAGAAAAAGAUGCGAGCAAUCUUAAUAUCACUCGAGGUGGAGUUCUGAAUCACAGAGGACAACACGUAUUUGUGCGUGUUCUGGGGUAGCUAAAGCUAGAUGUAAAACAAAACUCGAAGAACAAAGGAGGCACAACUCCUAUAUAAAUAGAGAGAGGGGGGCAGCCCCUAGGGGUGGCCAACCCUAGGUCGUCCACUAUGGGCCACAGUUGGGCUGGUUGUCUAUUCUUCUGGGCCCUCAUUCUUCAGUAGCAUGACGAAGUUAAGAUCUCUGGCACGGGCCCGAGUGAUUGGCCUAGCUAAUGAAGGAAGUGGCGCUUGAUGUGGAGGUGCUGCUGGUGUAGUCGUACUCAUAGUGAUGUCCUCAUCAUCCUCCCCUUCUUGAAGUGAAGUCGUCCUCGACGGCAACUCCUCAUCCUCGGCCAUAUAUGGUUUCAAAUCUGCAACAUUAAAACUAGUGGAAACACCAAAUUCCGCAGGCAGGUCAAGGAUAUAAGCAUUAUCAUUAAUCUUUGUUAGCACCUUAAAAGGACCAGCAGCACGAGGCAUUAAUUUAGAACGACGCAAAGUAGGAAACCGAUCCUUUCUCAAGUGCAACCAAACCAUAUCACCUGGCUCAAAAGUAAUAAGUUUUCUUCCUUUACUAUCAGCAACCUGAUUUUUUGCAUUAGUAGCAACAAUGUUUUGUUGAGUUUGUUCAUGGAGGUUAAUUAUUUGUUCAACAUGUGCAACAGCAUCUAUGUGUGGGGCGUCCGCAGCAUCAAGCGAAAACAAAGCAAUAGGCGCCCUAGGAAUGUAACCAUAAACAAUUUGAAAAGGGCACAUCUUUGUAGAAGAAUGUGUUGCAUGAUUAUAAGCAAACUCAACAUGAGGCAAGCAAUCCUCCCAACGUUUCAAAUUUUUGUCUAAAACAGCCCUAAGCAUGGUAGACAAAGUUCGAUUAACUACCUCAGUUUGACCAUCAGUCUGAGGGUGACAAGUGGUGCUAAACAGCAAUGUAGUUCCCAAUUUAUUCCACAGAGAUCUCCAAAAAUGACUAAGAAACUUAGCAUCACGAUCCGAGACUAUUGUAUUGGGAAUACCGUGCAAACGAAUAAUCUCUCUAAAAAAAAUUCAACAACAUUGCUAGCAUCAUCGGUCUUAUGACAAGGUAUGAAAUGAGCCAUUUUGGAGAAUCGAUCAACAACCACAAAAAUGCUAUCCCUCCCCUUCUUAGUUCUAGGCAAUCCCAAAACAAAAUCCAUCGAAAUAUCAAUCCAAGGGGAAGUAGGAACAGGCAAAGGCAUAUACAAACCAUGGUUGUUCAACCGUGACUUAGCUUUCUGACAAGUAGUGCAGCGUACAACAAGGCGCUCAACAUCAGCGCGCAUCUGAGGCCAAAAGAAGUGGGCAGCCAACACCUCAUGUGUCUUGUAGACGCCAAAGUGCCCCAUGAGACCGCCUCCAUGCGCUUCCUGUAACAACAAAAGACGAACCGAGCUAGCUGGAACACGCAGCUUGUUAGCGCGAAACAGGAACCCAUCCUGUAUGUGAAAUUUGCCCCAUGGUUUCCCAUUAAUACAAUGGCCAAAAGCAUCCUUAAAAUCAGCAUCGUCAACAUAUUGAUCUUUCACAGUGUGUAAACCAAAGAUUUUAAAAUCUAACUGUGACAGCAUGGUAUAGCGACGAGACAAAGCAUCAGCAAUAACAUUGUCCUUCCCGUUCUUGUGUUUAAUAAUGUAAGGAAAAGACUCAAUGAAUUCUACCCAUUUAGCAUGACGACGGUUCAGAUUUGUUUGGGUACGAAUAUGUUUUAAAGCCUCAUGAUCAGAAUGAAUUAUGAACUCACGAUGCCAAAGAUAGUGCUGCCAUGUAUGCAAAGUGCGCACUAAAGCGUAAAGCUCCUUAUCAUAAGUAGAAUAUUUCAGACUAGCAUCGCUUAAUUUUUCACUAAAAUAAGCAACUGGUUUUCCUUCUUGUAAUAAAACAGCACCUAGCCCAAUACCGCUAGCAUCGCAUUCAAGCUCAAACACUUUAUUAAAAUCAAGCAAUUGCAAUAGGGGAGCUUGGGUUAACUUAUCUUUCAAAGUGUUGAACGCUUCCUCCUGCGAAUCACUCCAAGCAAACGGCACAUCUUUCUUUGUAAGCUCAUGCAGAGGCGCUGCAAUGGAGCUAAAAUCACGAACAAAUCUGCGGUAGAAACCGGCAAGUCCAAGAAAGCUCCGAAUUUGUGUGACCGUCGUCGGUGUAGGCCACUCCCGAAUGGCAGCAAUCUUGCUGCUAUCCACCUCAAUGCCCUGUGGAGUAACAACAUAACCAAGAAACGAGACACGUCGUGUGCAAAAGAUGCAUUUUUCCAUGUUAGCAAAUAACUGGGCAGCACGCAAUGCAUCAAAAACAGCACUUAAAUGUUCCAAAUGCUCUUUCUUAGAUUUGCUGUAAAUAAGGAUAUCAUCAAAAUAAACAACCACAAACAAUCCUAUGAAGGGCCUCAGAACUUCAUUCAUCACUCGCAUAAAAGUGCUGGGAGCAUUAGUCAAUCCAAACGGCAUAACCAACCAUUCAUAUAAACCAAAUUUCAUUUUAAAAGCCGUUUUCCAUUCAUCACCCAGUUUCAUUCUAAUCUGGUGGUAACCACUACGCAAAUCAAUCUUAGUGAAAAUAAUGGCACCACUAAGCUCAUCUAGCAUAUCAUCAAGGCGUGGUAUAGGAUAUCGAUAACGAAUAGUGAUGUUAUUAAUAGCACGACAGUCUACACACAUACGCCAUGACCCAUCUUUCUUGGGAACAAGUAACACAGGAACAGAGCAAGGGCUAAGAGACUCACGAAUGUAUCCCUUGUCAAGCAAUGCCUGUACCUGGCGCUGAAUCUCCUUCGUCUCAUCCGGAUUUGUACGGUACGGUGCGCGGUUCGGAAGCUGUGCGCCGGGGAUGAGGUCGAUCUGGUGCUUAAUGCCACGAAGCGGUGGGAGCCCCGGUGGUAAGUCUUUGGGAAAGACAUCAGCGUAUUCCUGCAAAAGGUUAGCAACCAUAGGGGGAAUAGCCAAAGAUGGUGCAUCAUCAAGUGAAAUGAGGACACUAGAGCAUACAAGUGCAUAGCAUGGCAAAUGAGCACCGUGUAGAUCAUCAAAAUCAGCAUGUGUAGCAAGUAAAACAGGAGCCUUCAACUUGAUUUCAGAAGGAACAGAGGGCGAUGGAUCAAGUUGUUUAGCAGUUAUAGCAGCUCGGGCAAGAUCAUCUUUAACAAUUUGUUCAUGUGUCAUUGGAUGUGUAAUUAUUUUCUGACCCUUAAAAAUGAAAGAAUAAUGAUUCGAACGACCAUGAUGCAAGCUAGCAGUAUCAUAUUGCCAAGGUCGACCAAGUAACAAAGAGCAUGCUUCCAUGGGAAUAACAUCACAAUCAACAAAAUCAGAAUAAGCACCCAUGGAGAAAGGAACACGCACGGAACGCGUGAUUUUUAUUUUACCACCAUCAUUAAGCCAUUGAAUGUGAUAUGGGUUUGGAUGCUUAUGAGUGGGUAACGACAACUUUUUGACCAGCAUGGUACUCGCCAAAUUGUUGCAACUGCCGUUGUCGAUAAUGAUGCGAAUUGACCGCUCCUGCACAACACCCUUUGUAUGGAACAGAGCGUGUCGCUGAUUCUUCAUGGGCAAAGCGACCUGUGUACUAAGAACACGCUGCACAACAAGACUUUCAUACCUAUCAGCGUCGCCCGGGUUGACAUGUACCUCCGCCUGAGCUGCAUGGUUAGUGGCAAGUAGUGCAUGUUCAAUUUCUUCAGAAUCACUAGCGGAAGAGUACUCACCAUCGUCACGAAUGAGCAAAGUGCGCUUGUUUGGGCAAUCUCGAAUCACAUGGCCAAAUCCUCUACAGCGAUGACACUGAAUAUCCUGUGUACGACCUGUGGGUGGAGCAGUGCUGGCUGGUUUGGUCGUCUUCUCGCGUGGAGUAGUGGAGGACGUGGGUGGCGCAGGGGGAACUGGUGCUGAGGUGGAUGUCGAGCUUCGUCCUGCAAAAGGGUUAGAAUAUGUCUUCGAGCGGCGUCCCUGCACUUCACGUUCAGCUUUGCAAGCAUAUUCAAAUAAAGUAGUCAUAUCAUAAUAUUCCUUAUAAUCAAGUAUAUCCUGGAUUUCGCGGUUUAAACCACCACGAAAACGUGCCAUAGCAGCGUCGUUGUCCUCCAAUAUCCCACAACGAAUCAUACCUUUUUGUAACUCCUGGAAAUAGUCCUCAACAGAUUGAGAACCUUGCUGAAAACGCUGCAUUUUAUUAAGCAAAUCACGAGCAUAAUAUGAAGGCACAAAUCGAUGUCGCAUCGCAGCUUUCAACUGAUCCCAAGUGGUUGGAAUGGCAGUGGAAUGUUUUAUUUUAUACUCAUGCCACCAGAUUAAAGCAAAAUCAGUAAAUUCACUAAUAGCAGCUUUAACCUGAGAAUGUGCAGCAAUAUCAUGGCAUGAAAAUUUUUGUUCAACCUCUAACUCCCAAUCAAGAUAUGUAGCAGGAUCAUAUUUGCCAUUAAAAGGUGGAAUUUUAAAUUUAAUCUUAGAAAAUAAGUCAUUAGGGGGAUGACGAACCACACGGCGUGCACGACCACGGCGAUCUCCAUCGUCCUGCUCAGUGUCACCGCCGUAGUCCUGCUCCAUCUUUGUGGUCAACGCAUCAAGGCGUGCUAGGAUGGUGUCGAGUGUGGUGCGAGUCGCUGUUUGAGCAAGGUCAAGCUGGUUGAAACGCUCGGUCAUCGAAGUGACUGUUGAAUCAAGCCGUUCAUGCAUCGUCCUAAUAUCAGCAGCAAGUCCAUCAACUUGUCCCCUUACUUCCAGCAACUGGGCAUCCACCGUGUCGUGUGCUCCUGCCAUAGUUAGCGCAAACACCAAAACUCCAAAAGGAGAAAAACCGACGACAACAGGGAAAUGGUGGUGACAACUCGCUCAAUGAAAUGCUGUUAUCAAAUUCUUAUCCGUUCUUACCAAGCCACAGUGGUGAACUGCAACCAACAGGUGAAACCGGUGAAAGAUUGGAUGAGCGAUUGCCUGGAGAAACAGAAACCUUCUCGUCGUAGAAAUAUGUGGAGUUUUGGGUAGGCUGCACUCAAGUCCAGGAUUAGCACGAUCAAACAAUAAUGCAAAGUUGAAUUAUAGUGCAAAAUACGAAACUAUAUUGCCGGCCACAAGUGCAAAGGACGGAUGGAACUAGCAGAAUGGCAGUACCAUAAAUAUUGUACUAGCGAGGCCAAAAAGGCACUAGUAGGAAUCACAGGUGAUUUAGUUUUUCUUUUUUGUAUGAUUUUUUUGAUAUUUUUCUCAGCACAAGGAGCAACAAACUAGGAGCUACACGAAAUUUCACCUAAAACAGAGUUCAGAUGUGGUCUAUAGAAAAUCAGGGAGUUCUCUGAAAAGCGUGCGAGAACUUUGACGAAUUUUUUUCUUUAUUUUCCUGAAUUUUUUUGACAUAUUUGUCAAAACCAAACAGACCGAAGGUGAGUUUGGCCGGCCUCAAAAUGGUGUCAACAAGCUCCUGUAAAAAUUUCAGAUUUUUUGAACAACCGAGCGAAAAGUUAUGCCCGGUUUAAGGAAGGUAUGUUUAAAAUGACCGAGAUGAGACAACCGCUUUGUAUCCGUUCUCCUUCGUUUUCUUUUUUUUUUGUUUCUGUUUUUUUGAUGUAACCGAAGGAGAAAAACAAGGAAGCGGCAUUGACUCGGUUUGUUUUUUUUUCUGUUUUGUUUUACAUAACCGAAGGAGAAAAAUAAGGAAGCGGCGUUGAUUCGGUUUGUGGCGUUGACUCGGUUUGAUGUAACCGAAGGAGAGAAACAAGGAAGAUGGUUGCAGCGCGCUAGGGUUUGAUGUAACUGAAGGAGAAAAACAAGGAAGAUGGUUGCGGCGCGCUAGGGUUUGAUGUAACCGAAGGAGAAAAACAAGGAAGAAAGAAGGAUGGUGAGAAAAAAACACAAUGCGACCAGCAACAAAUGACGCGAAAGCACACAAAUUCAACAAUGCAGAUUAUUGAAAGAAGGUGCGAGGCUCAAAAGGGUGCUGGUAUAAGGUCUAACCUGAAUUUUUAUGUGGUUUUGUGGACUGUAGGAUAAAAAAACACUCGAUAAACUCACCGAUCAACCUGGAAAUCUGAUACCACUUGAUAGAGCUGGAGUGCCCGAUCUUUUGGUGAGUGGAGAUAAUUCCGAUUUGGUGGAAGUAGACCCUCACGAUCCGACUACGACGAGCGAUCCCGAAGCGCCAAUGCAAUCGCUGAACCACCUUCCAAUGGUUACCGACCUUGCUGAUGCGAGAUCGGCCUGAUCACGAAGAUCGUUUCCUGUGCGCAAUCGAAGAACGAACAAGAAAAAGAUGCGAGCAAUCUUAAUAUCACUCGAGGUGGAGUUCUGAAUAACAGAGGACAACACGUAUUUGUGCGUGUUCUGGGGUAGCUAAAGCUAGAUGUAAAACAAAACUCGAAGAACAAAGGAGGCGCAGCUCCUAUAUAAAUAGAGAGAGGGGGGCAGCCCCUAGGGGCGGCCAACCCUAGGUCGUCCACUAUGGGCCGCAGUUGGGCUGGUCGUCUAUUCUUCUGGGCCCUCAUUCUUCAGUAGCAUGACGAAGUUAAGAUCUCUGGCACGGGCCCGAGUGAUUGGCCCAGCUAAUGAAGGAAGUGGCGCUUGAUGUGAAGGUGUUGCUGGUGUAGUCGUACUCAUAGUGAUGUCCUCAUCAACCACGACAUCCCAGCUCGGAGUCAGGCCACCAGAACUGAGUCGGCAACGGCCUCGACUGGCGGUACCCCCUGGGGACGGUCGAGGAACCACCACAACUACUCCCCUCCCUGGGACAGACAUCAUCCUCGACGACAAGAAGACAUGUGUGGAGUGUCUGCACUUACUCCACGCCUUAGGGCCAUUCAAUGGCCCCCUAACUUCAAGGUGUCCAAUGUCGACAAAUAUGAACCUAAGCAGGAUCCAGGAGGCUGGUUGGCCGUCUACACCACUGCCGCUAGAGCUACUGGGGCGUCCGAAGACGUAAUGACCGCAUACUUGCCCAUUGUCCUCGGGCAAGACGCACUGCAAUAGCUGCGACAUCUACCCCGACACUGCAUCGACGACUGGAGCGACUUCAGUCGACGCUUCACCACCAACUUUCAGUCCCUCUUCGACAAACCAGCGCAACCAUGGGACCUCAAAUCCAUCAAGCGCCGGGGGGACGAAACUCUCCGGUCGUACCUCAAAAGGUUCCAGACCAUGAGAAAUCGUAUCCCCGAGGUCACGGAAGCGGCCGUGAUCGAGGAUUUCUACAGAGGAUCCAACGACUCGGCCUUCGUCUGAGCCAUAUAACAGAAAGCGCCGACUACCUCUGAGCAACUGUUCUGGGAAGCCGACCUCUACAUCACCGCCGACGAGCGAGCUUAGGACCUCAUCGGAGGAGCGAUACCUGCACCGGCAGCACCACGACGCGAUACGAACCAGCAACCCGACAAACGAUGGGAGAAGAGGCCUCGCGAAGAAGCUCACGCCGCCGGACCACCCGCCUCUCGCGCCCGAGGAGGACCUCGUGGAGGCAAACGCACGCUGGACGAUAUCCUCGACGCCCAGUGCCCGUACCACAAGGACAUGCGCCACACCCUUCGGAACUGCAGAGACUUCAAGCACUCCGUCGGGCACGGCCGACCCUUCCAACCUCUACCUCUCCUCCACCGCGGGGAGGACCAGGAGAACCGCGACAACCCCAGCAACAGGAGGAGGGAGGAGGUGGAGUCUUCCUGCGCGUCGACGGAGAGGUCAACGUCAUCUUCGGCGAGCACGGAUCGCAGGAGAACAGGAGAUAGGAAAAGCUCAACGAUCGCCAAAUACUGGUGGCGACCACCGGUCCUCCCGCUCCAUACCGAUGGUCGGAGCACCCGAUCACCUUCACUCGGGCGGAUCAAUGGCUCAACUUCGACCACCCAGGAAAAUACCCGCUCCUCGUCGAUCCGGUGAUCCGAGAGAGCAGGGUGAAGAAGGUAUUAGUGGACGGGGGAGCAGCAUCAACGUCACCUUCCACCGGACACUCCAAGGCUUGGGAGUUCACCUCAAAGAGCUCCACGAGUCAGAUACUCCCUUCUUCGGCAUCGUGCCGACUGAAGGAGAAUACCCGCUGGGCCACAUCUACAUGCCAGCCACCUUCAGAACUCCGGAGAACUACAGAACCGAAUUCCAAAGGUUCGAAGUGGCGAACUUCGACUGCGGGUACAACGCCAUCAUCGGGAGGCCGGGAUUGGCAAAAUUCAUGGCCAUUCCACAUUACACAUACAUGAUAUUGAAGAUGCCAGGACCGCAAGGAAUCAUAACUAUGCGCGCUGACUUCCAAGGUGCCGUAGAAUGUUUCCGAGUGGCCAUCCAGGUGGCCCUCUCCACCAAACCGUCGGCAACCUCUUCGGUACAGGCAAACUCUAAGCCUGAGGAAGACCUUGCAGCACCUGCAAAUGAAGCUCAAGUCGCGACCUCUAUGCGGCCGACUGAAGAAACCAAGAGGAUCAACCUCGGGUUCGCUGAUGAACGCAAAACCGCCAUCAUCAGUUCCAGCCUGGAUGACAAAUAGGAAAGCGCGCUCGUCCAGUUCCUGUAAGAUAACCGAGACGUAUUCGCAUGGCAACCUGCAGAUAUGCCGGGAGUCCCGAGAGAACUGGCCGAGCACAAACUGAAGGUCUAUCCCUAGGCGAGGCCGAUUCGGCAAAAACUACGUCGUUUCACGCCCGACAAGAGAGAGGCCAUUCGCGCUGAGCUGGCCCGCUUGGUCGCGGCUGGAUUUAUUAGAGAGGUGUUACAUCUCGAGUGGUUAGCCAACCCUGUUCUUUUACUCAAAAAGAAUAAAGUGGAAUGGUGCAUGUGCGUCGACUAUACGGAUCUCAACAAACACUGUCCAAAGGAUCCCUUCGGGCUUCCUAGGAUAGAUCAGGUGGUAGAUUCCACCGCUAGAUGUUCUGUGCUGUCUUUCAUGGAUUGCUACUCCGGAUAUCAUCAUAUUAGCUUGGCAAAAGAAGACGAGGAAAAAACAGCGUUCAUCACUCCGUUCGGUGCUUUCUGCUAUACCUCCAUGACGUUCGGCCUCAAAAACGCUGGAGCGACUUAUCAGAGAGCCAUUCAAACAUGCUUAGCCGAUCACUGGGGCAAGUGGGUGGAAGCCUAUGUAGAUGAUGUGGUAAUCAAAAUGGAGAACUCGGAAAAUUUCAUCGAAGACUUAUAGCUGGUUUUCAACAGUCUACGGCGAUAUCGAUGGAAGCUUAAUCCCGAAAAAUGUGUCUUUGGGGUACCAACAGGAAAGCUACUCGGAUUUAUUGUCAGCCACCGGGGAAUUGAAGCUAAUCCGGAUAAGAUCGAAGCUAUCAUGAAAAUGGAGGCGCCGCGAUCACAAAAGAAAGUUCAGAGACUUACCGGGUGUAUGGCAGCCCUAAGCAGAUUCAUAUCCAGGCUGGGAGAAAAAGGCUUACCAUUUUAUAAGCUACUCAAGAAGGUGGAUAAAUUUUGGUGGACUUCAGAAGCACAGGAAGCCCUAGACGCAUUGAAAAAAUUCCUGACGGCACCACCAGUGCUGAAGCCACCACGGCGAGCCACGUCAACUCAUCCGGCUGAAGAUUUGCUGCUAUAUAUCUCUUGCACGACUCACGUGGUGAGCACCGCGUUAGUAGUCGAGCGAGCGGAAGAAGGACAUGCUUACCCAGUGCAACAUCUUGUUUAUUUCAUUAGUGAAGUUCUGGGUCCCUCAAAGAAAAAAUACCCUCAGGUUCAGAAGCUAUUAUAUGCAGUACUUCUAACUGCGCGCAAGCUGCGUCACUACUUUGACGACCACAAAGUCAUAGUAGUCACUGGUUUUCUGAUAGGGGAUAUUCUUCAUAACAAGGAAGCCAUUGGUCGAAUAGCCAAGUGGGCCUGCGAGCUGGGAUCUCAUGACAUUGAAUUUCGACCUCGCACUGCCAUCAAAACUCAAGCAUUGGUUGAUUUCGUAUCAGAAUGGACUGAACAACAAAUACCAGAUAACCCAGAAACUGCAGAAGUAUGGCGAAUGUAUUUUGAUGGCUCGUUAAAACUGCAGGGAGCAGGCGCGGGGAUCCUCUUUAUCGCACCUGGAGGCGAGCACCUCAGAUAUGCCCUCCAGCUGUUAUUUUCGGCCUCUAAUAAUGCAGCCGAGUAUGAAGCUCUGAUUCAUGGACUGAACAUUGCUAUAUCACUGGGCAUCAAGAGACUGAUGGUAUACGGAGAUUCUCUGGUAGUCAUAAGCCAGAUAAACAAAGAAUGGGACUGUUCGAGCGAUUCAAUGGGAAAGUACUGCACCGCCGUCCGGAAACUAGAAGAUAAAUUCGAAGGUCUAGAAUUUCACCAUGUAGAAAGAGAUCGAAACACGACAGCUGAUGUAUUGUCCAAGCUAGGAUCCAGUCGAACUCAGGUCCCACCCGGAGUCUUUGUACAAGAAAUACCACGCCCAAGCAUUUCACUGGAUCAGGCAGAGGAAUGUAAUACCAUGAGCCAACCAGAGUCAGAUUCUGAUGACUGGAGAAGGCCGAUCAUCAGAUAUAUAAAGAAUGAAGAGGAACCAGAUGACAAAAAUAUAGCCGAGCGCAUCGCUAGACAGUCAGCUCACUACACACUCAUUGGGGAAACAUUAUAUAGAAGGGGUGCCUUGGGCGUCCUCAUGAAAUGCAUUCUCUCAUCUACUGGGAAGCAACUUCUAGAUGAGGUAAAUGCUGGGCAAUGUGGAAUACACGCAGCAUCCAAGACACUAGUUGGUAAGGUCUUCAGGUCGGGAUUCUAUUGGCCAACAGCAAAAAGUGAUGCAGCCGAUGUGACACCCCAGUGUCACCUAGGGUUUUUCUCAAAUGCCAAACCAAGAAUCAUUAUUUUAUGUGAGCCAAAGUAAGCCUGAGCAUCAAAAUAACUUAAGUAAUAAAGAAUUCACCAAGUAUAUACUUAAAAGUGUCAUGAUCAAAACAAUUGAGACUUUUAAAAGAUAAGAAUGUGCAACCCAAAUUAAAAACCCUAAGUGAGCCCCAUGAGCAAAACUCAAGAAAAUAAGAAAAAGGGAAUGAAAAGUUUAAAAUUUUGACUUGAGCCAAUUAUAAAAAUUAAAGUAUAUUUAAUGGGCAACAAGAAAUGUUGAGAAAGCUUAGCCAAAAUAACUCAAAUAAAACCCCAAAUCAAGCUUCUCAUAUGGGGACUUAAUGGGAAUUCUGAAUUUCAGAAUUCUGAAAUUCAGACCUUGAGCCAAAGAUCAGGGAUGUUCACCUUGAUCCCUAACUCGAAUCCUAAUGGCCCCAUUGACAAAAUUGUGUCUAACUAACCCCUCUGUCAUGUGCCAGAAGAUGGCAUUGGGACGUGAGCCCUAGACACGACAAAACCUUGGAUUUGCCUCGGGUUUGGGCAGGGAGAUAGACCAGAUUUCCUGGCUCCAUAUCUCUACAACCAGUAGGCAAAAUCCUAUGACCCCCCCCCCCACAAGAAUGGUAGCUUGUAGGGAGGAGAAGAGGUUUUGUGCACUGACCAAGGCGAGAGCAGGCUCGGAUGAGCGACCACACGCGCCAGAACUUGGGCAGAACGCACGGGCACACGUGUUCGACCCUGGUCGGCACGCUAGAGCUCGCCCAACCCGCGCGCGCGCUCACCCCGGCGUCCGGUCAAGUCCGCCGCGCGCCCACGCCCUCGGCCGUGCCCGCCCGCGCCUAUAAAGCCUCCCCGGGCGCACCUCUCUUCGCCCCGCACUCACCCUCACCGGCCAGCCACCUUUCCUUAGCUCCGGCGAGCUUAAUUCCGCCCGCCAUUGCCGCCAGAGCUUCGGCCAUCGUGGCCAGCCCACUCCAGCCACCCUCAAGCCAAGCCAGUGCUUCGGCUAGCUCCACCAGUAGCCCGUGAAGCUUGCCAAGCCCUCGGACCCGGCCAGACUUCGCCGGAGGCCCGAGACCGACCUCACCGGACUUCGGUCUUCCGCCACCGCGCGUGGACCGAGUUAUCCAGUGAGUCCCCGCCCAAUUCCUUGCGCUCAUAUCUUCUCUGGCAUCCCGUGGACCUCCCUGACCCAUUUGAUUGAACUAUCUCGCCGUGACCAGGCCGGUCUCCUCGCCGCCGACGAGCAUCCUCGCCUGCGCGCGUGGACCGACCGACUCCGGCCAUCUCCGACGGCGUUCCGCACACCUUUGUGAUCCCCGAGACCUCCCCUUCGUCCUCGACCACUUCACCGGAGCAAUCUCGCCGCCGGUAAGCCCCUCCGCCCUUUCUUCCGCCGCGGUUACUGUUUGAGGUAGAAGAAGGACCUCAGGUUAGGAUUUGUAGAACCCGAGGGGUUUUCUGUGAUGUCAGUGACUCAUGUGAAUAGUAGCUUAAGGGCUGAUUCGCGAAGAAAACUUAGAAAACCCGCCAGGGACCCCAGUGCAAAGUGGAUUUCCAUUUAACCAAUUCUGUUAUUCUUUUAAAAAUGACCAGAGAACUUAGAAAAUCCAUAACUUGAUGAAAUCUUAAUAAAAAGUUGUCAAACCAAUUUUGCUAGCUCCUGAAUAUUAUAAUCUAUCUUUUAAAAUAGUAGACCCUAUGCUUUCUGUUCUAAAUUUUUGAGUUUAAAAUUAAAAACAGAAACCUACUAAACCUUGUUUAAUUAAGGAAAAUUAGUUUUUCUUCUGUGCUGAACUUAAGAAAAUUUGUAGAUGUUUAAACCUCAUUUAGACAUAGUUUAAAAAUAAUGGGAACCCCAGCAUUGAAAAAUAUGAUGUAGUUAUUCCUUUAAAGCUAAUUUGUCCAAAACUUAGAGAAAAUCAGAAAGGCCUUAGAAAUUAAUGAACAAUGAUUAAGAUUAUUUUUCCUAGUUUACUUAUGCAACAGAGAACCUAGGAAAAAUACAAAGACCAUUAAUUUGGACCAGUUUUAAAUUAAAAUGAUUUGUUUAGCUUUAUAUAGACUGAAAAUCAAUUAUUAAAUAGGCAAAACUAUAACCAAAAUGCUUGAUAAAAAUCCAGUGAACUUGUAACCACCAGAGCCCCACUACAAAAAUACAGAGCACCUCAGCCCAACUUUUUAAGCAAAGAAAAUAAAUACAAGGUGAUAAUAAGGCUUUUUUUCAAAUAAAUCAUGAACAACCCCUUUUAAUGUGAUAAUGGGCAACUAAAAAUUUGCUAAGUCCAUGAUGAGGUAAACUACCAGAGAAAAAUGCAAACCCAUGAAAAAGAAGUAAACCCAUACCUUUUGCUAAUGAUUUAAGAGAGAGGCCACUUAAUUCAAAUAAUGCAAACCACCCCUUCCCUUAAGCAAAAAGAGGCCAAACUUCAGAAUGAUUGCUCUUGCACAAAAUACUAACUAUGAAAAAUGAGAACUUUGUUGUUGGAUGUUUCUCAAAUAUAGUGGUAGUAGAAAGCACCCAUUUGGCUAGAAACUUGAGAAAACCAUAGAAAAAUAAUUAAGAGGUAUUAAUGACUAGAAAUUUGUAUCAAGUCAUGUUAUGACACCUAAAAGCCAGCAAAAAUAAGUUUUAGAGAAUUACCCACUGUUAAAUAAUAGUUGUAGUUCAAAGCACCCCUUCUGCCCUAAAAUUUGGUAAUUUUGUCCAGAGAAAACCAUUCACUUUCUGACCCCCAAAAUUUUGAGGCAGGGAAACAUACACCAGUAACAAGCCACUGUAAUUUUUGUAAAAGUUUUAGAAUUUUAUAAAAGCAACUUGUAGUUCAAACCUACUCCAAAACAUUGAAAGAAUAAAAGAAAAAGGAAAGAAGAAAUGAACCCCACCUCAAUGAGUCUAACUUGAGUACUUAUCAUUUAUCCCUAAGACUUAAAAGGAAUUCAGUGGAACCCAAAAAAAAAUAAACCUACCCCUUACCUUAGCUAAGUCUAACCCAACUUACCAAGCAUACCACUAAGGGUUUUACAUAAGUAAAGUUAACUUGUUUAAACUCAGAAGAUCAUACACCUUUAAAGUUGUAAUUUCUAAAAGCACAUAUCAUAUCAUGCAUAUAUCUUACGCAUUGCAUUCAUUAGAUUGCAAUCUUGCCGAUGGAGAGUACGUGCUCAUCCCCGAGCAAGGACCUGUCCAAGAACAGGACCAGGAGUAGGCUUCAGAGGCUGCUAUUGAGGAUCUCCCCGCAGCCCCAGCAAUUGAAGGCAAGCCCCGGUUUUAUGCAUAACCAUGUUAUUAUAUGCAACUUUACUACACUUAAUGCUUGUAGGAUUGCAAUGUGCACUUAAGUGUAGGAGUUGCUUGAAACCUCUAGUUGCAUGAACAUAGGAUUCCUUUUUGAGAUGAAUACUAGUAUGCUAGGUCGAGUAGCUGCUUGCUAAUCAGGAUCUCGGUAGAAGUCGAGUGAUUUUUCUAGCACUCACGCGAGGUCAGGAAUUGAUUGUAUUUAUCUUGAUAACGGGACAUAUGUUGGUCUCGAGACUUGGAUCCAGGGAGGAUGCCUUGUCCCUGAGACGGGAAAAAUGAAUUAAGGAUUAAUGUGUGGAUACCUGAGUCAAGCUUUUGAACGUACUAAGCACAUGCCGGGAAAAAUGGUAACCGGUAAACCUAGUACCUGAGUGAAGCCAGGCGCGGACUUUAUCCCUCAUGCGACCUGAGACUGGGUCUCCCAUGCUAGCUAUGGUGGGUACAAGUGCGGUCACUGCACGGCGGCAGCCGGGGUCAGUGGAGCAUUGUAUGCCAAGGCGGUGAGGCCUGGACGCGAACGGGGAAUCGAUGGGGACGGUUGUCAUGUGCGGGGUCGGAGUACCCUGACAUGCCGUGUGUUUAGGUUUACCUUGCAAGGUUUAAAACUCGAUUCGAAUCGUCUGCUUCUCGCAGCUAAUGAGACUGCUUGAUUCCUUGUACUGCAUCGAGUAAGAAGUGAAAUGUGGAUUAUAUGAGAUAACUUGAUGGUUGAACUAAUUGAUUGUUACCAUGUAUGCUUAGAAGGAGCAAAUCUAGCUAAGUUAAUGAUGGUAGAAUUGAAAAGCUAAAAAUUGAUUUUAGAAACAGCUAGUGCUUUUGGCAAACCAAACCCCUCAGCCAAACAGCUGCAUAGUCUAGAGGUAGAGGAGUAGACUCCUCACACCGGUUAAGUCUAGCUGAGUAUUAGUAUACUGAGCCUUGCUUGUGGCUCAAUUUUUGCAGGUACCGUUCAGGAAAUGGUUGAUGGUGUGACUUGGCCUACCACCUUGCCACCGGGUUGGACGGUCGAGUGGGAUGUUGCUCCGGCAGGAGAGGAGCAUGAGGAGUAGUGGGCUAGGCCUUGCCCAUUUCCUCAUUACCGACGACGUCGAUUAUCCGCUGCACUUUAUUUUGUGAACUUUAUUUGCUACUCAAAAACUCCGAUUUAUGUAAUAAUUUAGCACUUAAUUUGAGGUUUCCUGUUUUAUUGUAUUUCUUCUGUGACUCACCUUCGAGUGAGAUUGUGGAAUUUGAUCCUGGUUAAGUGGCUCUAUCAGACUAGAUCUGAGGGACUGACGGGUUAUUCCGAUUUAAGUGUGUUACGGCCCCUGAGGCAUGACUUAGGCACUUAAGCUGGAAUAAUUCGGGCGGUUCUGCCACAGCUGGUAUCGGAGCAAAUUCCACCACAGAGAAGGACAAUAAACCAUGAAUACCAAUUUUCAAAAUCUAAAACUUGCCUAGAAACUACUACGCACCGUCAAGACUAGACCGCUAGACCUAGGACGAAAGGCCUUAGGCAUAGAGGGAGAAAUAGGUGGCUAAUUAAUUAGGCCCCGUGGGCCAAUACUUAUAUUUUUAGGAUGCCCUAAAAAGGCACCCUAUUUUCUCUUUGAGAGGCAACGUUUCUUCCAGCAUGCAUGCAUUAUAAAAUAUAAAGAGGAAUUAAAAAUUGAGCUAACCCCCUUUUCUUUAAAACCAUCCGGGCUCUCUUUUUCUUUUUUCCUUCCACCAUAAUCUAUAUCUUUGAUUCCCUUCCGCAGAUGAAUUCACCCACCCCCGCCAGCGGAGGAGACUCUUGUUUCAGUUCUGACUUCCUUUCUCGCGAUGGCUUUCCUUCUAUCUUGUGGGAAGUGCUUAACUCCGCCGGUUACCCUACGCCCCCUUUGUACACGGUGCAGUUGUAUGAGGAGCAUCGGGUACCUCGUUGUCGGGUCUGGCUGACUUUGGAGGCUCAUCCCCUUCAGCCGGGUUGGCGUUCUCUUGACUCUGAGACGAUUGGACUCAGGACGGACGACACCGUUGAGGCAGCAGCCAUGAAGACUCUGACGACUUUCUGUGGCUACCAUCCCCUGGAGAUGGUGAUGCACCCCUUGGGACUCUUCCCUGCUGAGAAGAAGGAUGAUCCCAUGUGGUGUAACCGCGUGAGCCAUGUGAAGGAUGUGUGGGCAAUGUAUCCUGACUUGGUUGGGAGGGUCACUGUUCAGUGCAUGAGUGCGCUGUACCGCCUUCAGGCCCUUCAGAGCGAUGCUAUGACACUUCUUGCUAACACCGCUCAGACUGCCAAGCUCACUCUCGACAGUCGGGAAGAUUUUGUGGUCGACCUAUCCACAGAAUUGGUGGAGAAGGAUCUGCAAGUGGAAAGGCUGAGCCAGCGUAUCACCACCCUGGAGCAGCAAGUGGAGAUCCGAGACAACACUAUUGAUGUCUUGGAGAACCAGCUUCACGAUGUGCAGAGGGAACUCGAGGAAGCAAAUGACCACUUGGACAUGCACCACCUGGAGAUGGAGGCCAAUGAAGUAGGAAGCGAGGGAGAAGAGGCUCCCGAGGAGCUAGGACCAGCCCCUGGUGCCAAUGGGACUACCUCCGCGAUGCCUCCUUCACCCGUAUCCAGUGUCGCUUCCACCGCUCAGGGUUAAGCAGUCGCUUUGACAUUUUUAGGCGGAUAGAAACCUAUGCGAGCUUAGUAGUAUCACAUUUUGGACUAGGCUUAUGGGUACCUUCCCCUGAUUGAUGUAACCCUGUAAACUUUUGAAAUCUGUGGGAUAUUUGUCACCAUGUUACCUUCAUUUCGAACCCAAUAUUAUGAUUAUGGCAUUUUCCUUCCAUAUGAGAUGAUAUCUUGCCGUUCGAAACUGUAAGUUGGGAUAACAAUGGCGACAAUCUCUGUUUUCAGAUGGCAGCUAGGCAGCGUCGCGGGCAGAAUGAGCAAGCUCCCCCGCCACCUCCCCCAGCUCCCACAGUGCAGGAGCUGAUGGCCCAGCAGAAUGAGAUUCUGCGACAGCUCUUGCAGCGCCAGCCCCACCAACAGCAGCAUGGUGGAGGCCAGCAUCAGCGACCUCCGGCUAUGGCAACAUACCAGGAGUUUCUGAGCACGCAGCCGCCCUUGUUCACCAAGGCAGAGGAUCCGUUGGACGCCGACGUGUGGCUUCGCGUCGUCGAGUCCAAGUUUCCCCUCCUCACGGGAGAUUGCCCUGAUGAGGCCAAGGCUCGCUUCGCCGCACAGCAGCUUCGCGGCCCUGCUCGGACUUGGUGGGACCACUUCCGUGCUAUGCUCCCCGCUGAUCGUGAGGUAUCUUGGGAGGAAUUCAAGACUGCCUUCAGAGGACACCACAUCCCAGCUGGCAUUCUUGAUCGGAAGUUGAAUGAAUUUCUAGCCCUUAAUCAAGGAACCCGCACGGUACUGCAGUAUGCACAAGCCUUCAACGACUUAUGCCAGUAUGCAGGAUAUCAUGCUGAUUCUGAUGAAAAGAAGAGGGAUCGCUUCCGCAGGGGUCUCAAUACCAAGCUGCGGGAACGACUCAACACUGUCCGGGCUGAUAGCUUCAAUGAGUUGGUCAAUAUGGCCAUCUCUCAGGAGGAUUGUAUUGUUGCUCACCGGGCAGAGAAGAAGAGGAAGGCACCAAUGGCAGCACCAUCCGCUCAGGCUCAGAGGUUCCAGAUCGUUUCUCACAACCAGAGCAGGGGUUUUCAGCAGCAGGCAGGCAGAUGGGUGAUCAGGCCACCUCAACAGCAGCAGCAGCCGGCACCCAACCGCUACCCAGCUCCUACCCCAAGGAACAAUCAGCCUCAGCAGCAGCAGCAGUUCCGCCAGGGAAAUGGGAACAAGUGUUUCACUUGUGGCAAUGUGGGCCACUAUGCCAAGAAUUGUCCCAGGAACCAGCAGAGGCAGAUGCCAGCACCAAAUCAAGACAAGGGAAGAAAGCAGAAGGUGCAAGUCAGGCAAGGGAAGCUCAACUUCACUACUCUGGAGGAAGUACCAGAAGGAGCUCCUAUCAUGACCGGUACCUUUUUAGUUUAUAAUCAACCUGCUUUAAUUCUGUUUGAUUCUGGUGCAUCUCAUAGUUUCAUUAGCCAAAAGUUCAGUGCUAAAUGUAAACUGCCAUUCUCUCACUCAAAAGGGUCAUUCAUGAUAGUCACACCUGGAGGUAAAAUUGCAACUAAUCAAUUAAACCAAAGUGUGCCUAUUCAACUGGGAAGCCACAUUGUCAAAACCACUCUUCUUGUGUUGGGAUUGGAAAAUGUGGACAUUAUUCUAGGAGCAAAUUGGAUGACCUUGCACCAAGUUGUGCUUGAUAUAGCCAGCCGUACCGUGGAAGUUAAUUCUCCCUUCUGCGGGAACUUCACUUUAAUUCUGCCUAGUCAAGGUUCUACUCAGUCAUGUGCUUUCUCUAUGACGGAGUCACCCCUAAAGAAGAUCCCAGUGGUCUGUGAGUAUGCAGAUGUCUUCCCUGAUGAAUUGCCAGGAAUGCCACCGGACUGGGAUAUCGAAUUCGCCAUCGAGUUGCAACCGGGAACGGCCCCAAUUUCCAAGAGGCCCUACCGAAUGCCACCCGCUGAGUUGGUAGAAUUGAAGAAGCAGUUGCAAGAAUUGCUGGAUAAGGGUUUCAUUCGCCCAAGCACUUCGCCUUGGGGCUGUCCAGCACUGUUUGUGAAGAAGGAUGAAAGCUUGAGGUUGUGUAUAGAUUACCGUCCUCUUAAUGCGGUAACUAUCAAGAACAAGUAUCCUUUGCCUCGUAUUGAUGUUCUCUUUGACCAGUUGGUCGGGGCCAAGGUGUUUUCCAAGAUAGACCUUCGCUCUGGCUACCAUCAGAUCAAGAUACGAGCAAGUGAUAUUCCGAAGACGACAUUCUCAACCAGAUAUGGGCUAUAUGAAUUCUUGGUGAUGUCAUUCGGGCUGACAAAUGCACCAGCAUACUUCAUGUAUCUGAUGAAUUCUGUUUUCAUGCCGGAAUUGGACAAGUUCGUGGUGGUUUUCAUCGAUGACAUUCUGGUGUACUCAAAGAACGAAGAAGAACAUGACGGGCAUUUGCAUGUAGUGCUUCAACGUCUGCGAGAGCACCACCUUUAUGCCAAGUUAUCCAAGUGUGAUUUUUGGCUAAAGGAAAUCAAAUUCUUGGGUCACACUAUCUCUCAGGCUGGAAUAGCUGUUGAUCCUGAUAAAGUGCAAGAAGUGAUGAACUGGAGGCCACCAACAACCGUUCGCCAGAUUCGGAGUUUUCUGGGAUUGGCUGGUUAUUACCGAAGGUUUAUUCCAGACUUCUCCCGAAUUGCGAAGCCUAUUAGUGAGUUGCUAAAGAAAGAAGUCAAGUUUGUGUGGAGUCAGAAGUGCGAAGAUGCCUUCCAUGCAUUAAGGCAGCAUCUGACCACAGCACCAGUGUUGGCGCAACCCGACAGCAGCAAGCCUUUUGAUGUAUAUUGCGAUGCCUCUGGCACCGGGCUAGGUUGUGUCUUGAUGCAAGACAACCGAGUCAUUGCUUAUGCCUCAAGAGCACUCAGGCCUCAUGAGCAAAAUUAUCCCACUCAUGACCUCGAGUUAGCAGCAGUGGUUCAUGCAUUGAAAAUGUGGAGGCACUAUCUAAUGGGAACCCACUACAACAUCUUCACUGAUCAUAAGAGCCUUAAGUACAUUUUUACUCAAGCUGAUCUCAACAUGAGGCAGAGAAGAUGGCUAGAGCUGAUCAAGGAUUAUGACCUGGAGGUACAUUAUCACCCAGGGAAAGCUAAUGUGGUAGCAGAUGCCUUGAGUCGGAAGUUGCAGUGCAACUGUAUUCUGAUGGAUUCUCGCAUUAACACCUUGUGUGAUGAGUUGAGCAAGAUGCAAAUUGAAGUGAUUCCUUCUGGUUCUUUGUCUCACAUUUCUGUUGAGCCAACUUUGCAAGACCAGAUCAUCAUGGCCCAGCUCAGUGAGAAGGGAGUGCAGACUAUCAAGAAGAAUCUCCAUCAGAAGGUUGAGAAGUAUAAUUGUUUCCGCCAGGAUGAGAAGGGUGUAUUAUGGUUCAAGAGCAGAUUGGUAAUUCCUAAAGACCAGGAGCUCAAGAGGAAAAUUUUGGAUGAGGCUCAUCUCUCUAAAUUCUCUAUGCAUCCGGGAAGCACCAAGAUGUACCAUGAUUUGAAGCUUUUGUACUGGUGGACCAGAAUGAAGAGGGAGAUAGCCCAGUAUGUAUCAGAGUGUGACACCUGUCAGAGGAUAAAGGCAAGCCACUUGAAGUCAGCUGGAGCUUUGCAACCACUAUCCGUACCUUCGUGGAAGUGGGACGACAUCAGCAUGGAUUUCAUUGUGGGUCUGCCCAACACCUCUCGUCAUCAUGAUUCGAUUUGGGUUAUUGUGGACCGAUUGACGAAAGUGGCACAUUUUCUUCCUGUGCACACCACUGAUAAGGCUCAGAAGUAUGCAGAAUUGUAUAUUGACCGAAUCGUGUGUUUGCACGGAUUACCUUGAACCAUUGUUUCUGACCGAGGAGCCCAAUUUGUUGCCAGAUUUUGGGAACAAUUGCAAGAGUCUUUGGGAACCAAGCUAAUCCGGAGUUCAGCUUACCACCCACAGACUGAUGGUCAGACGGAAAGGGUAAACCAAAUUCUGGAGGAUAUGCUGAGAGCUUGUGCGAUCGAUUGUGGCAAGAACUGGGAUAAGCACCUCUCCUUGGCAGAGUUUGCUUAUAACAAUAGUUAUCAAUCCAGCCUAAAGAUGGCACCUUUUGAAGCUCUCUAUGGAAGAAGGUGCAGGACACCACUCAAUUGGUCUCAACCUGGUGAAAGAGAAGUUUUUGGACCUGAUUUAGUGACUGAAGCCGAAAGGAAGGUCAAGCUAAUCAGGAAGAAUCUAGAAGCUGCUCAGGCCAGGCAGAAGAGCUAUCAUGAUAAAAGAAGGAAACCUCUCCAGUUCAAGGUGGGAAGUUUUGUAUACCUCAAGGUAUCACCCACCAAAGGAGUACAGAGGUUUCGGAUCAAAGGCAAGCUAGCCCCUCGUUACAUUGGACCUUAUGAGAUCAUCGAAGCAUGUGGACCCGUGGCAUACAAGCUGAAGUUACCUUCAAAGAUGUCUGCCAUUCACAGUGUAUUCCAUGUAUCUCAGCUGAAAAAGUGUGUUCGAUUGCCGACUGAGAUCAUAGCAGAGCCAGAAUUGGAGAUAGAGCCAGAUCUAUCGUACCAAGAGUACCCCUCCAAGAUUCUGGAUUGCAAAGAAAGAUCAACUCGGGCUAAAUCGAUCAAGAUGUUCAAGGUCCAGUGGAGUAAUCACUCAGAGGAGGAAGCUACUUGGGAAACCGAGGAAUUCCAGAGAUCCAACUUCCCCGAUUGCCUACCUAAAGAAGCUGGUACGUAAUCACCCCCAACCCCCUCCUCCUGCCCUUCGAAUCUAACUUUCAAAAAUAUGAUCUUAAUUCAGAAUGAAGUAACUAUAAAGUAAAACUUAAAAGGACUUCCUUCUGAAGUUGCAAAGAGAAUGACAUUCGAAGAGCAGUUUUGCCCUAAUAAUAACAAUAAUCACCCAUUUCCUAUAAGUCUCACCCUUUGCUUCACCCUGGGAGGACUCUGGCCCAAAUCUCGGGACGAGAUUCCUUUAAGGGGGGAAGGCUGUGACACCCCAGUGUCACCUAGGGUUUUUCUCAAAUGCCAAACCAAGAAUCAUUAUUUUAUGUGAGCCAAAGUAAGCCUGAGCAUCAAAAUAACUUAAGUAAUAAAGAAUUCACCAAGUAUAUACUUAAAAGUGUCAUGAUCAAAACAAUUGAGACUUUUAAAAGAUAAGAAUGUGCAACCCAAAUUAAAAACACUAAGUGAGCCCCAUGAGCAAAACUCAAGAAAAUAAGUAAAAGGGAAUGAAAAGUUUAAAAUUUUGACUUGAGCCAAUUAUAAAAAUUAAAGUAUAUUUAAUGGGAAACAAGAAAUGUUGAGAAAGCUUAGCCAAAAUAACUCAAAUAAAACCCCAAAUCAAGCUUCUCAUAUGGGGACUUAUUGGGAAUUCUGAAUUUCAGAAUUCUGAAAUUCAGACCUUGAGCCAAAGAUCAGGGAUGUUCACCUUGAUCCCUAACUCGAAUCCUAAUGGCCCCAUUGACAAAAUUGUGUCUAACUAACCCCUCUGUCGUGUGCCAGAAGAUGGCAUUGGGACGCGAGCCCUAGACACGACAAAACCUUGGAUUUGCCUCGGGUUUGGGCAGGGAGACAGACCAGAUUUCCUGGCUCCAUAUCUCUGCAACCAGUAGGCAAAAUCCUAUGACCCCCACACAAGAAUGGUAGCUUGUAGGGAGGAGAAGAGGUUUUGUGCACUAACCAAGUCGAGAGUAGGCUCGGAUGAGCGACCACACGCGCCAGUACUUGGGCAGAACGCACGGGCACACGUGUUCGACCCUGGUCGGCACGCCAGAGCUCGCCCAACCCGCGCGCGCGCUCACCCCGGCGUCCGGUCAAGUCCGCCGCGCGCCCACGCCCUCGGCCGUGCCCGCCCGCGCCUAUAAAGCCUCCCCAGGCGCACCUCUCUUCGCCCCGCACUCACCCUCACCGGCCAGCCACCUUUCCUUAGCUCCGGCGAGCUUAAUUCCGCCCGCCAUUGCCGUCAGAGCUUCGGCCAUCGUGGCCAGCCCACUCCAGCCACCCUCAAGCCAAGCCAGUGCUUCGGCUAGCUCCACCAGUAGCCCGUGAAGCUUGCCAAGCCCUCGGACCCGGCCAGACUUCGCCGGAGGCCCGAGACCGACCUCACCGGACUUCGGUCUUCCGCCGCCGCGCAUGGACCGAGUUAUCCAGUGAGUCCCCGCCCAAUUCCUUGCGCUCAUAUCUUCUCUGGCAUCCCGUGGACCUCCCUGACCCAUUUGAUUGAACUAUCUCGCCGUGACCAGGCCGGUCUCCUCGCCGCCGACGAGCAUCCCCGCCUGCGCGCGUGGAUCGACCGACUCCGGCCAUCUCCGAUGGCGUUCCGCACACCGUUGUGAUCCCCGAGACCUCCCCUUCGUCCUCGACCACUUCACCUGAGCAAUCUCGCCACCGGUAAGCCCCUCCGCCCUUUCUUCCGCCGUGGUUACUGUUUGAGGUAGAAGAAGGACCUCGGGUUAGGAUUUGUAGAACCCGAGGGGUUUUCUGUGAUGUCAGUGACUCAUGUGAAUAGUAGCUUAAGGGCUGAUUCGCGAAGAAAACUUAGAAAACCCGCCAGGGACCCCAGUGCAAAGUGGAUUUCCAUUUAACCAAUUCUGUUAUUCUUUUAAAAAUGACCAGAGAACUUAGAAAAUCCAUAACUUGAUGAAAUCUUAAUAAAAAGUUGUCAAACCAAUUUUGCUAGCUCCUGAAUAUUAUAAUCUAUCUUUUAAAAAUAGUAGACCCUAUGCUUUCUGUUCUAAAUUUUUGAGUUUAAAAUUAAAAACAGAAACCUACUAAACCUUGUUUAAUUAAGGAAAAUUAGUUUUUCUUCUGUGCUGAACUUAAGAAAAUUUGUAGAUGUUUAAACCUCAUUUAGACAUAGUUUAAAAAUAAUGGGAACCCCAGCAUUGAAAAAUAUGAUGUAGUUAUUCCUUUAAAGCUAAUUUGUCCAAAACUUAGAGAAAAUCAGAAAGGCCUUAGAAAUUAAUGAACAAUGAUUAAGAUUAUUUUUCCUAGUUUACUUAUGCAACAGAGAACCUAGGAAAAAUACAAAGACCAUUAAUUUGGACCAGUUUUAAAUUAAAAUGAUUUGUUUAGCUUUAUAUAGACUGAAAAUCAAUUAUUAAAUAGGCAAAACUAUAACCAAAAUGCUUGAUAAAAAUCCAGUGAACUUGUAACCACCAGAGCCCCAGUACAAAAAUACAGAGCACCUCAGCCCAACUUUUUAAGUAAAGAAAAUAAAUACAAGGUGAUAAUAAGGCUUUUUUUCAAAUAAAUCAUGAACAACCCCUUUUAAUGUGAUAAUGGGUAACCAAAAAUUUGCUAAGUCCAUGAUGAGGUAAACUACCAGAGAAAAAUGCAAACCCAUGAAAAAGAAGUAAACCCAUACCUUUUGCUAAUGAUUUAAGAGAGAGGCCACUUAAUUCAAAUAAUGCAAACCACCCCUUUCCUUAAGCAAAAAGAAGCCAAACUUCAGAAUGAUUGCUCUUGCACAAAAUACUAACUAUGAAAAAUGAGAACUCUGUUGUUGGAUGUUUCUCAAAUAUAGUGGUAGUAGAAAGCACCCAUUUGGCUAGAAACUUGAGAAAACCAUAGAAAAAUAAUUAAGAGAUAUUAAUGACUAGAAAUUUGUAUCAAGUCAUGUUAUGACACCUAAAAGCCAGCAAAAAUAAGUUUUAGAGAAUUACCCACUGUUAAAUAAUAGUUGUAGUUCAAAGCACCCCUUCUGCCCUAAAAUUUGGUAAUUUUGUCCAGAGAAAACCAUUCACUUUCUGACCCCCAAAAUUUUGAGACAGGGAAACAUACACCAGUAACAAGCCACUGUAAUUUUUGUAAAAUUUUUAGAAUUUUAUAAAAGCAACUUGUAGUUCAAACCUACUCCAAAACAUUGAAAGAAUAAAAGAAAAAGGAAAGAAGAAAUGAACCCCACCUCAAUGAGUCUAACUUGAGUACUUAUCAUUUAUCCCUAGGACUUAAAAGGAAUUUAGUGGAACCCCAAAAAAAAUAAACCUACCCCUUACCUUAGCUAAGUCUAACCCAACUUACCAAGCAUACCACUAAGGGUUUUACAUAAGUAAAGUUAACUUGUUUAAACUCAGAAGAUCAUACACCUUUAAAGUUGUAAUUUCUAAAAGCACAUAUCAUAUCAUGCAUAUAUCUUACGCAUUGCAUUCAUUAGAUUGCAAUCUUGCCGACGGAGAGUACGUGCUCAUCCCCGAGCAAGGACCUGUCCAAGAAGAGGACCAGGAGCAGGCUUCAGAGGCUGCUAUUGAGGAUCUCCCCGCAGCCCCAGCAAUUGAAGGCAAGCCCCGAUUUUAUGCAUAACCAUGUUAUUAUAUGCUACUUUACUACACUUAAUGCUUGUAGGAUUGCAAUGUGCACUUAAGUGUAGGAGUUGCUUGAAACCUCUAGUUGCAUGAACUUAGGAUUCCUUUUUGAGAUGAAUACUAGUAUGCUAGGUCGAGUAGCUGCUUGCUAAUCAGGAUCUCGGUAGAAGUCGAGUGAUUUUUCUAGCACUCGCGCGAGGUCAGGAAUUGAUUGUAUUCAUCUUGAUAACGGGACAUAUGCUGGUCUCGAGACUUGGAUCCUGGGAGGAUGCCUUGUCCCUGAGACGGGAAAAAUGAAUUAAGGAUUAAUGUGUGGAUACCUGAGUCAAGCUUUUGAACGUACUAAGCACAUGCCGGGAAAAAUGGUAACCGGUAAACCUAGUACCUGAGUGAAGCCGGGCGCGGACUUUAUCCCUCAUGCGACCUGAGACUGGGUCUCCCAUGCUAGCUAUGGUGGGUACAACUGCAGUCACUGCACGGAAGCAGCCGGGGUCAGUGGAGCAUUGUAUGCCAAGGCGGUGAGGCCUGGACGCGAAUGGGGAAUCGAUGGGGACGGUUGUCAUGUGCGGGGUUGGAGUACCCUGACAUGCCGUGUGUUUAGGUUUACCUUUGUCACACCCGGAUUUUAGGGGUCAAAAACCCGGGCGCGAACAUAAACACCAGGUGUGCUGGGACCAAGUCUCACACAUAUGAUGCAUAGUGGCACAGGAUCGAAUGUCACAUCUUUACUAUAUAACAGGAGUUCUGUACGAAAAUAAUUAAAUAAUUACAUCAUAUGAGGAAACGAUCCAGCAACCCAAAGUUGACUGGGAGACGACGGCCUAGACCUCUCACGAACACAUCGCAGCAUCCUCCAUGCGCCUCAUCCUGCAGUACCUGUUCUUGAUCUGUGGGGGGGUGUGAGACAUCAAGAGUGAGCUCACAUACGUUCAUCGCUCAACAAGUUGUGGGGAAUAAUGUGCAUGAACUCGCCAAAGGUGGGAGCUCACGUGAAGUGUAAGGCUUACCAAAGAGGAUGGUUGAAGCUGAGCAUUGCUUUUAAUGUUGGUCAAAAUUUUAUUAGCAAUUACUAAGUAUAAGUAAAUACCAACCCAAUUAAGUAGUAGAACAAAAGUAACAACAUCACCUGCGAUGCAAUGCAUAUGACAAAUUGAAUUUAGUUCCAUAAAUUAAUCAUGUGAGGGUCCAAGCCGCUCAUGACCGUGAGCACGGCUAGUAUACCAGUUUUACACUCUGCAGAGGUUGCGCAUAUUUACCCACAAGUCAUGUUACCCAUCUGCCAAGAGAUGGCCAAUCCCAUACACCUCUACCGAGGAGGCGAGGCAGGGUAACACUACGAGGCCUUUACAAAGUUCCACUAGCUUCAGAAAACCCGCUACAGUUUAUAGGAAGCUCCAAUGCAGGGUUCUUGCCUGACCGCCAUCGCAGCAAAAUCAACCAAGGACCUCCCUACACUGACCACUCCCCUACUGCCCUUGCCCCUUUCGGGUAAGGAAGACCUCCACUAGCUUUCCUAGUUAAUCAGCCAAGGGCGUCCCAUUAUACCCUUGUGGUAGCACUGUUUUCCCGGGUGGUCGCUCCAUGUUCGCAUUAACAAUAAUGAUCUUAACAUGAACAAUAAUAAUAAAAAGAUAAUAAAAAUGUAAUCAUGAAUAGUGUAUCUUCAUACCCAAAUCCACAUAAAGCAAUAGCAGGUACUACCCAUGAAUUUAGUAGUAAAAUCAGUGGUGAAACAAGGUAUAAAGAUAGUCAAAUCUAGGGUAACCUAUUGGGUCCCAUCAAAAUUAACCUAUGCAGAUCAUUAUAAUUAAUAAGAACAUGGCUAGGAAAAAGUAAGUGAUCAAGGGCACAACUUACCUGGCACUUGAGAUUCCAGGUACCAACUUGCUCAUCAGGUGACUCGUGACCUCACACUAGUCGUAGCAAUACAAACAAACAGUGUAUAGGAAAAAUUAACAUCACACCAAACAUAUAUGCAAAAUACAUAUUAAUGAUCUACAUAUUAAAAUAAAAUCACAGGAACAAGAAUUAUUAAUUUUGAAGUUAUAGAUUUUAAGUUAUGGACUUCCAAAAGUUCUAGGUGCUAGGUACAAGAUUAAUUAGGAGAUUAAUUUUAAUAUGACUUUCAUGUCAAAACAGUGAAAUAAAAUGAUAAACAAUAAUAUUACAAAAUUAAUGUCACUGAAAUGGAUCAAUUCGGAAUUAGAAUGGAUUUUCUAUGAAUUAAAUAAGUUUCUGAAAUUAUUUUAACACUAAAAUCAUUUUCUAAUUGAAUUUAUUUGGUUUCCUACUCCUCUGUACUGCGCGCAUCAAUCCAGAGAACUGUAGGGUGCCAUCUGUAAAUUCUUGGGCCAUCGUGCAAUUACUUAAGAACUGACUAGGAUCGCGGGUUGAUUAGCCAAUUGUUCAGGGUCUCUUUUACAAACUCACCCGCUCCGAAGGGGUAUGGGGUCACAAGAGCCGUCCAAUCACCAUCGAACCACCCUGAUCAGACCCCGAGGGUUUAUGAAGCUGUAAGCAAUCAAGGUCGUUGGAUCAACGACCAGGCGCCUGGAUUUUAAGUCCUUAGGUCGAUUAUCACGCGCCGGAUCCACAUCGGACGACCGAGAAGAGUUCAGGCCAAACCAGAAUCCGGGAUCAAAUCCCAGCCCUUCAUCUGGGAUUGACGGCCCAUAUUCCACCCCCAUCGCCCAAGCCUGGUAACGGUGGCGCUGCCUGAGGCCACGGCGAGGCAUCGCCGGUGAGCCUACUGGAUGGCGGUCCUGUGCUCUAGAUCCCAAUCCGGGGAGCGCUACACGGAGACAAGAUCCCAACAACAGAUAUAGGUUCACGUACCAAUGGUGAGGAUGCCGAUAUUCUCCGACCACGGCGCUAGUGGUUCCGCGGCGGAGCAGCGGCAUGGGUGAGAAAUUCUGGUGGCCACGAGGUCCUUCUCCGCCCCCCGACGACAACGCAAGCAUCGAAGCUCGCCGUCGACCAACGAACCGAGUGCAUCCAUCCCAAUACCUCGCGCGUGAAGAAGAUCCGUACCGCCGGUCACCACGGCAUCUUCCUUCUCUCCUUCUCUCUUGCCCCAGUCGGUGGUGGUGGCCAACACAGCAGCGGCAUCUGGCUUUCUCUCUCCAUCUCUCUCCGCUGCUUGCUCGGAGGCCUCACGAGUCUCGACGAUGGCCGAGGGAGUCACAACCCGCGUAUAUUUAUACGCCCAGAACUAAAGGAGAUAGGAUCGGCUAGCAAGGAUCACGUAUAUGUGAUGUCAGGGGUGACAUCGUGAUGACGUCAAAUCCGGCAAGGUGAAUAAAAUAACAAUAGAAAUAAAAAAAAACCCCUCAACAUCCACUUCCUAGCGCACGGUGGCAGCCCAUCAGGUGUGGCUAGCUAGCGCCAUCAGCCCAAGACCAGGUUGUGUUUUCCCCUUUCAUUCACCCCUUUUUUUAAUUAAAUCUCGAUUUCUCCAAAUUUGAAUUCCAAGUUUUUUUACACGUAUAUUAAACUCACAAACAAAUAAAACACCAGAAUGCCAAGUAUAGUUUUAUGUUGCUUAAUUAUUUACCACCUUACUCAUUUAUGUUGGUGCUUCCAAAUAUACAAUUCAUGCGUCUAAAUUUAAUAAUUUUAGAAAGUAAUACAUAAUCCCCGAUAAUAUAUGGAUUAACUUAAUAAUUUUUUUAUGGGUUCAUAUAAUUCAUAAAAUAAUUGCUUCCCUAAGUAAAUAAUCAAGGAUCUUUUUGUUUAUAUUUUUAUUUAGUUUUGAUUCGAAUUCUAGCUUUAAGGUUUAGAUUUUAUAUGUAUAUAUUUAUAUAUAUUUAAACUAUCAACGUCUUAGUGUUAUCAUUAUUUAUUUUAGGAAGUCCAAUUAGGUGAAAUGAAAUAAUUUUAAUCCUCAAUAGUCUUGGAGAAUCUUACUAAAUCCCAAAAUAGAAUUUUGGGUGUUAUAAAUUCUACCCCCCCUUAACAGAAAUCUCGUCCUCGAGAUUUGUAUGGACAGGGAUGUAAAUAAGCUUUAUUUAUAGUUUGGCCUUUAACUUCUAAUUAGUUUAUGAAUACAAGUUUCAUGUUAUUUAGAAAGUGGUUAUGGAAGCAUGGGUAUAUAUAUGUAUGUCCACUUGUGUAUAAAAAAAUCCUUGAUGGGUGAUUAGGAGAGUAUAGAUAUCUAGACGCUUAUUAUGUGGGUUGAUGAAUGGAUAGGUUGGGAUAACCAGGAUUAUGGUAAUAAGAGACUCCAUGUACAGUGGAUCUUGUUUCGUCUAGCGAUCCAACUUGAUCUUUGAAGACUUGAGUUGAUGCUUUUUCUCCCUUGACGUGGUUGGUCUUCUUUGGCCCUCAAUUCUAGAGUUGCCAUCCGAGUUAAGGACAUGUGGCUAAGUAUAUAUAAUUAGGAUAGCCAGGGUACACGAGGUAGGUGGGUUUGAACAAAGUUUUACUUUGCUUUUGUGAUAUCUAGAUUAGACAACCUAUGAUGUAGGUUAGGUUGUUGUUUACGGACGAGUUAGUCCAAGGUAUUAAUUUAGGGUAAGAUAUGUUUACAGAAUUAGGGUCUAAUUUAUGUCACCAACAUUAUCUAACUUAUUUAAGUAACUCAAUUUGGAUUAGAUCAUGUUAGAUUAGGUGGGAUCUAGAUCAGAUUAGUAUAACUAGAUAAGAUCUUAUUUAUUUUAGGCUAGAUCAUGGUUGUUACUGUAGAGUGGGAUAUGUAUACCAAGAUAAAUCCAUAAGGAUAAGGUAGAAUCUUUUGAGGUUAGUUAGAUCUAUUAAGGUGAGAUAAAAUCUUUUCAAGAUAAGAUGAGUCUAUUAAGAUAAGAAAUAAUCUUUCAAGAUAAGAUGAAUCUAUUAAGAUAAUAGAGUAUCUUUUAAGAUAAGAUGGAUUUAUGAGGAUAUAUAUAUUUUAAUGAGGGAUAAUCUAGUUUAUCUAGUUAUCUUAUGAAUUUUAUUUAUUUAUAUUUAUACUAUAUAUAUGCAGAUGUAAUUGUGGACAUUACUCCACAACUCAUCACACUCAAUCAAAGAUCCAAAUCAAACAAGUAUCAUAAGAACAAACAUUCAAGUUCAUAGAUAUCUAUAUAAAAGAAAAAUAAUUUUGUUUUUGUUCCUAAGAGUAGGUCUCCUAUUCCUAAAGGUCACUUUAGGUACAGAAUUUCAAAGUGUGAAAUCCACUUUUGUCUUUGGAGAGAAAAUGUAAGAAUAAUCAGAGUAAAGCGGAAAUAGAUGAGAAAAGAUUAAGGUAAGUUUAGAAAAGAAUCAGAGUAGCAAAGGUAAGUAGACAAUGGUUGUCCAGUUCUACCUAGGUUUCGUCCUACAGUCAACAUUCCUCUGAUACCACUUCUGUCACACCCGGAUUUUAGGGGUCAAAAACCCGGGCGCGAGCAUAAACACCAGGUGUGCUGGGACCAAGUCUCACACAUAUGAUGCAUAGUGGCACAGGAUCGAAUGUCACAUCUUUACUAUAUAACAGGAGUUCUGUACGAAAAUAAUUAAAUAAUUACAUCAUAUGAGGAAACGAUCCAGCAACCCAAAGUUGACUGGGAGACGACGGCCUAGACCUCUCACGAACACAUCGCAGCAUCCUCCAUGCGCCUCAUCCUGCAGUACGUGUUCUUGACCUGUGGGGGGGGUGUGAGACAGCAAGAGUGAGCUCACAUACGUUCAUCGCUCAACAAGUUGUGGGGAAUAAUGUGCAUGAACUCGCCAAAGGUGGGAGCUCACGUGAAAUGUAAGGCUUACCAAAGAGGAUGGUUGAAGCUGAGCAUUGCUUUUAAUGUUGGUCAAAAUUUUAUUAGCAAUUACUAAGUAUAAGUAAAUACCAACCCAAUUAAGUAGUAGAACAAAAGUAACAACAUCACCUGCGAUGCAAUGCAUAUGACAAAUUGAAUUUAGUUCCAUAAAUUAAUCAUGUGAGGGUCCGAGCCGCUCAUGACCGUGAGCACGGCUAGUAUACCAGUUUUACACUCUGCAGAGGUUGCGCAUCUUUACCCACAAGUCAUGUUACCCAUCUGCCAAGAGAUGGCCAAUCCCAUACACCUCUACCGAGGAGGCGAGGCAGGGUAACACUACGAGGCCUUUACAAAGUUCCACUAGCUUCAGAAAACCAGCUACAGUUUAUAGGAAGCUCCAAUGCAGGGUUCUCGCCUGACCGCCAUCGCAGCAAAAUCAACCAAGGACCUCCCUACACUGACCACUCCCCUACUGCCCUUGCCCCUUUCGGGUAAGGAAGACCUCCACUAGCUUUCCUAGUUAAUCAGCCAAGGGCGUCCCAUUAUACCCUUGUGGUAGCACUGUUUUCCCGGGUGGUCGCUCCAUGUUCGCAUUAACAAUAAUGAUCUUAACAUGAACAAUAAUAAUAAAAAGAUAAUAAAAAUGUAAUCAUGAAUAAUGUAUCUUCAUACCCAAAUCCACAUAAAGCAAUAUCAGGUACUACCCAAGAAUUUAGUAGUAAAAUCAGUGGUGAAACAAGGUAUAAAGAUAGUCAAAUCUAGGGUAACCUAUUGGGUCCCAUCAAAAUUAACCUAUGCAGAUCAUUAUAAUUAAUAAGAACAUGGCUAGAAAAAAGUAAGUGAUCAAGGGCACAACUUGCCUGGCACUUGAGAUUCCAGGUACCAACUUGCUCAUCAGGUGACUCGUGACCUCACACUAGUCGUAGCAAUACAAACAAACAGUGUAUAGGAAAAAUUAACAUCACACCAAACAUAUAUGCAAAAUACAUAUUAAUGAUCUACAUAUUAAAAUAAAAUCACAGGAACAAGAAUUAUUAAUUUUGAAGUUAUAGAUUUUAAGUUAUGGACUUCCAAAAGUUCUAGGUGCUAGGUACAAGAUUAAUUAGGAGAUUAAUUUUAAUAUGACUUUCAUGUCAAAAUAGUGAAAUAAAAUGAUAAACAAUAAUAUUACAAAAUUAAUGUCACUGAAAUGGAUCAAUUCGGAAUUAGAAUGGAUUUUCUAUGAAUUAAAUAAGUUUCUGAAAUUAUUUUAACACUAAAAUCAUUUUCUAAUUGAAUUUAUUUGGUUUCCUACUCCUCUGUACUGCGCGCAUCAAUCCAGAGAACUGUAGGGUGCCAUCUGUAAAUUCUUGGGCCAUCAUGCAAUUACUUUAGAACUGACUAGGAUCGCGGGUUGAUUAGCCAAUUGUUCAGGGUCUCUUUUACAAACUCACCCGCUCCGAAGGGGUAUGGGGUCACAAGAGCCGUCCGAUCACCAUUGAACCACCCUGAUCAGACCCCGAGGGUUUAUGAAGCUGUACGCAAUCAAGGUCGUUGGAUCAACGACCAGGCGCCUGGAUUUUAAGUCCUUAGGUCGAUUAUCACGCGCCGGAUCCACAUCGGACGACCGAGAAGAGUUCAGGCCAAACCAGAAUCCGGGAUCAAAUCCCAGCCCUUCAUCUGGGAUUGACGGCCCAUAUUCCACCCCCAUCGCCCAAGCCUGGUAACGGUGGCGCUGCCUGAGGCCACGGCGAGGCAUCGCCGGUGAGCCUACUGGAUGGCGGUCCUGUGCUCUAGAUCCCAAUCCGGGGAGCGCUACACGGAGACAAGAUCCCAACAACAGAUAUAGGUUCACGUACCAAUGGUGAGGAUGCUGAUAUUCUCCGACCACGGCGCUAGUGGUUCCGCGGCGAAGCAGCGGCAUGAGUGAGAAAUUCUGGUGGCCACGAGGUCCUUCUCCGCCCCCCGACGACAACGCAAGCAUCGAAGCUCGUCGUCGACCAAUGAACCGAGUGCAUCCAUCCCAAUACCUCGCGCGUGAAGAAGAUCCGUACUGCCGGUCACCACGGCAUCUUCCUUCUCUCCUUCUCUCUUGCCCCAGUCGGUGGUGGUGGCCAACACAGCAGCGGCAUCUGGCUUUCUCUCUCCAUCUCUCUCCGCUGCUUGCUCGGAGGCCUCACGAGUCUCGACGAU